UCUGUUUCACUUUCUUUUUUUUGUUAAAUCUUAAAUGUGUGUGUGUGUUAUGGUGAUUUCUUCUUGGAUACUUAUCUAUAAGUAGGCCUCACUUAGCUGGAAAAUCUCAAGUCCCCACCAUCAUACUUUUUAUCCUUCCAAAAUCUCCCUCUACCCAAAAACUGAACCAUGGGCCUCUGAGAAAAUCCACCCAAAUUAUCAUCACAAAUUUUACAGGGGCAUAGAAGAGAAAAAGUGCCUCCUCUAUACACGACAACUCCAAAAUUCAAUUAUCCCAUCAUCACCACUCACAAACCCCUUAGCAUUAGUGCAACCCACUCUAAACAGCAACCUGCCCUAAGGCUCCUAAACUUAUAUUGAAACCAAUUUAGAUUCUUGUAAGCACAACCAAUUGGGCCUUGUAAGGUUGGAGGAGAAAUGGAACGACCUCCCUCUUAUCCACAACAUUUGCCCUCUUAAAUUCCAUGAAUUAAUCCUAAGUUUCAUUGUCCAAUCAUGUUUGGGUUCAAGCAGCAACAGCACCUGCCUCAAUCUUCAAAUCACCACCCUCAUAAUUCACUGAGCAGGAUGGUUAUGCAAUUCUCUGUUCUUGCAUGAACUGCCUCUCCCCUUCUUUCAUAGUGUUAGAGCCCUGUUUGCCCCACCUGGAUUCUAUGUCUUAAGCAUGUCCAUACUCUCCUCCAUACGCUUUGAUCAACAGUUACAAAUACCUGUUGAAUAUCCCAAAUUUCAUUUUUGCCUGUGGUGUAGGAGCUUUCUCCACACCUUUUUGAACUCCUGAUCUGGAUUGCAUGAAAUUCCACCAGGCAGUAUAAUAGAUACCAUGUUCAUGUCAAUAGGAGGCAACACAAUACCACACCAAUCUUUCUCCAACCACACCACCAUAUUCCUCACGCAUUUUAAUGGGACUCUACCAUGGCCCAUCUUGCAAGAUCAUCUGCAAUAGUCACCUCCACUUCACUGCAAGCUUUCCUUACCUACAUUCCCAGGUGCAUCCAUUGCUCCAAUGCUUUUCUGACCUAUAAGGCCUGCUCAUCACCCACCAAACUAGAGGAAGAAGACCCCAGCAGACUUACCUAAGUUAGGAGACUCCCUUUCACAAAGAUAAGUGCUUACUGCUAAUUAGUGUCAUCACCUUUAGCUCCUCCACACCACCUUCACCUCUCAUCCCCAUAAAGGGACGAAAAGACCAACUUGAUUAACUCACAAUUUCUUUGCCUGGGCAUCAUACUGCCUCCUGUCCAGUAGAAAAGACUUGAGGAUGUCUUGCUCUCUGCUUCCAUAUGUUCUCCCUUCUCAGCCUCCAUGGGAGAUAUGAACUUAAAAAUUGCCAGCCUAAGGAGGUCAGAUUCACUUCCUUCACUUUAUUACAAUCCACCUUCAAAAUUUGAAUUACUGCCAAUGGGUUGCCAAACAAAAAACAAACACCCCUACCACCCAACAUCUUCUUGUCUACAUUGGCUACUUCUUGCUCUACUUGGCCUGGUCUUUAGUAUCUUACAGUUGUCAUUUAACAUCCUAAGCAAUGCUCAAAGCCCCCAUGGACCUUAGCUGCUACACUGCCUUCAGACACUGUUGAAAUUCCCCAUUUCCAGUUCCAUCCUCCACACGCUUUGAAUGUUUACCAGAAAAUCCCAGAUUAUGCAGCCUGCUUGGCUAAGAAUAUCGACUCAGAAAAUCUAAGCUAUCUAGGAAAAUAACAAAAUACCUCGUUAUGUCCUCUGGAAACACCAAGCCGGGCAGAUAUCAACAAUUCCCAUUUUUCAGCUCUCUUCCAUCAAGCUUAAGAUCUUUAAAUUACACAUAUCAUUUUUUCAUCCACAACAAUAAUCCAAACAGUUCAAAAGUCAUGAGAGUCCCCUAGAACCUAGUUUGUUCCGCCUUUAGUAGCCUUUUCCCGUAUUCAUGAUCUCCCCUUUAAUUUUCCCUUGCCAUUGUUUUCAUAAUUCCUCGUUUUAAUCCUAGCUGCAUCCCAAAUAUUUCAUUUCAGUUCAAUUUAUGCUGAAACCUUUAAAUUAUAAACAGCUAUCCAUAUUUCUGACUUUAUUGCUUACAUCUAGUCCAGUUUCAUCAGGUAGACAACAUGCACCACGGGACCUCAUCUUUUUUUUUUUUUCUUUUGAUCAAUAAGCAAAAGAAUUGUAUUAACGAAGAGGCACUAAAAUAGCGACCCACAGAAUUACAGUAUAGAGACACUCACCCCCUUACAAUUGGACCCAAAACAAGAAGGAAAAAACAAAAAACCUCCAGUUGUGCAGUUAAGUUCAUCCAUUGCUAAUGCAAAACGCAAGCAUCUGUGCAGCUAGAAAAUGGCAUCUCCCAUGAGUUGAUCUCUCAGGUUGUAUCCUCCAGUUGUAUGUGCAGCCCUUCAUCAAAUUAAUAAAUCUAGUUAUUCUAUUUUCUAUUUUUUUUCUUUUUUGAUCAGUAAGUGUAAUAUGUAUAUUCAAAAAGAGGCGCUAAAGAAGCGACUCAAAAAGCUACAGCAUCGAACAACUCACCCCCUUACAAAAGAACCCAAGCCACUAUGAAAGCACAAAAAACUCUCUCCCUUAACGCAUACACACCCAUUCCAUAAAAUCUAUUAAGGUCGAAGGACCAUCUUUUAUCCACAAUUUGGUUUCCGACCAUAGUAAAUACACAAAAGAAAUUUUCAGCUUUUGGAUGGACAGCACCCCAUCCUCAAAAGCAAUAGAAUUCCUAGCCUUCCAAAUAACCCAAAACAAGCAUAACGGUCCCAAAAGCCACGCCACCUUCCUCUUCUUGCCCACAAAGGAGCCUCUCCAACCUAUGAGAGUUUCCUUAACCGAAAGCGGAAAAACCCAAGAGACUCCAAAAAAAGAGAGUAGCAAAGUCCACACCUCCCUUGCUCUUCCAAACACCUAUUAGUUACAUUUGUCUUGUUAUAUACUAAUUUUGAAACAUAUAAUUUCCUCCCUGCUAUAUCUGAUGGAUAUGGACACAGGUAUGAGAUGCACAGAUUCACUGACCUAGCUCAAAAAGUAGGACCAUAGAUGUGGAAAGGACAGAACAAUAUAUUAGUAUAUGCUUACUGGUCUUUCCUCUCUUUUACUAGUCAUAUUCUUGUCUUUUGUGAGUUUGAUCUCUGUGCACUGCACUAUAUAGACGCAUGUCCAGCAGUGUGAGGGGAUUGUACUUUCCUACUUAGUAUUCACAUAGACAUGGGUCCUCUUUAAAGGCAAGCAUGCUACGGGCAUCCUGUUUAUGUUUACAUUUCAAGUUUAAGUAGUUUGUUAGUUGUUUUGAGGAUUUGUUUUGUGUUCUUUGUAAAUUGUUGCUUGUCAAUUUGCCAGCUUAAUGACUUACCAAUUUUAAUUGAAGCACUUCAUCCUGAUGCAGGGCAUUCCAGAAGAUGAUGGCAAGUCCACCAGUUCCAUUCAUGUCAACACAUGCCAUUAUUAUUUCCUACCAUGCUUUUUACUGUUCACAAGAAGUGAAAAGUUUUUAAAGCUCACCUUGGAUGUGAUGGGCUCAUUGAUAACAGAAAAUGGUUCAUCACCUUUUUCUCCUAAUUGUAUUCUAAAUGCCACUGACCAUACGAAUAGGAUAAGAGCUAUUGUUGAAAUCCUUAUAUUGAUGCACAAAGAUGUUAAAAUCCAGCGAAUUCUUUCUUCAUGCAAAUCAGAGAUUGACCAUAUUUUGCAGAACAUGCUCUUAUUACAGGUAUGAUUUUGUACAUUAAGCCAUGCAAUUCCGUUUAGUUUUUUUUUAGUUAGUUUGUGUAUUCAACUGACCUGUCUGGUCCAAGCAUCAUGGAUUUUUUUCAAGGUUAAACCAGGCAGCCAAAGCCUGCACUAUAAAUGCUAUUUAAUCACGGAUGUCAUAGAUUGUUUAUAUUUAAUAUGUAGAAUGUGCCAAAUUGAAAUGCUCAUUAAGUAUCUUUUAGCAGAAUAACUGAUUGGCCUUUAUACUGUCCGAUCUACCUGAUCUAAUAUGACUCUUUAACUCUCCAAGGAUUGCUGUAAAAAGGAAAAUGAGUCAGAAAUUCAGAGUAAAGAUUACCAUGACAAUCACAAGCUUCAUUGUAAUGAAAUCAGCCUGUUUAUUGUUUGAUCAUUAACAUGUUGAAUACUGCUGUUAUGAUUAGAUGUUUUUUUCCCUCAAGAUAGGGUAAGAACUUUAGAAUUGGACCCCUUAUAAUUCAGACCUAAUUUUAUAUUCACAAGCCUUCACAAAAUACCUUUCAAAUUCGAUUUGACCUCAUAAUCACUAGCCUUAUAUGCAAGAUAGUCUGCAAUUUUGUUGCUAUUUCUGUUGAAAAUAUCAAUAAUGGUUUUAUAAUCCAAUUAUAUGAUAAAUACCAAUCAUAUCCAAUUAUAUGAUAUAUAGAUCUACUUUCCUUCUUUUGAUCACACUUUACACAGCAGAUUUUGUAUGUGAGAAGGAUUUCUCUGUUUUCUCAGCCUUCUUUAUAUUUGUUUUCACUGGAAUAAAAUGGUUGUUUCUGAUUAAUAUUAACAUAUGCACACACACACAUAUUAUACACGCUAAAGACAUGUUGUUGUGUGUAAGUAAUAAAUUUCUUGACAUCAUUGUUACCGCAGGCUUCAAAAGGAAUGAAUAUGAGUAUCGAAGAAAGGCACAAUAUACAAUGUGCAUUUGACCGACUAAAGUGCAUAACAAGUACACUACCCAGUGCGACGCCAAUAAUCUAAAUGCAUUUUUGGAAUCCAAUAAAUUGGCCUAGUAAGUUAUCUAUCUUUCAUCUGCUUUUGUUUCACACAUUAUUCUUCAUUUAAAAGAGGUGAAAGGCAAGGUGGUUUUGGAGGUUUUGGGUUCUGUUUCUCAUGAGAAAGUUCAUGAUCCAGGGAGGGGGGAUGAUCAAUUACAAUCUUGCUUCUUUGACUCUAAAGGGCAUUCCAAUUUUAUGGUCUAAGAUAUCCUGACGCUACUGUACAGUAUGGGCAAAGGAGUCUAUAAUUCAAACUAGUCAUUGGCUUGUGCAAUGUACAUGAAACUGUUUUGUUCAAAACAGAUUGAUAAAAUAAUAUAUUCUAUGUCAACUAAAAGUGAUAUUUUUCUAAUAGGUAUAACUAGAAAGUGAUCUGAAUUUUGUUUGGCUCUUUAAUUAAUGAUCUCUUCGCCUGUCAAAGAAAACUAUGGAGUGACGUAAGGCUGCUAUAGUAAUGAAACUGUUUUUAUUUCUGAUAAAAAAAAUGAAAUUAAAAUAAAAUAAAAUGAAAGGGUUUUAGGUAUAGGAGAAAAUUAGUUGCUAUAUCCUUUGUGGUGGUUUUGAUCUGUUAUGGAAAAAAAUGAUCCCUUUACUUUAUGCAGCUGUCUCUUCUGACUCUUUUAUCUUAAAAGGGGCCAUGUGCUCCUUGGAUAGCGGUAGUCUUUCUUCUACUAAAUCCAUUGGCUCUCCCAGAGCCUGGGUUCCAUGUUGGAUUCUGUUGGGUGAUUCCUAGUGAGAUUCCAUUGGUGUUUGGGGUUGCUUUCUGGGUUUUUUCAGCAUAUAAGUUUUAUUGUCUGAUGCUUCUAAUGAUACGCAAUAACUUGAACCUAUACAGGAGAAUGCCCAUUGAAACAUCUCAUCGAGUAUUUAAUACAAUGUUUUGUAACAGAAGUGUGACUAAUUUUCUCUCAUUUUUCUUGUGCCUUCUUUCAGCUUUGUAUUUUACAAGAAUGGAGAGAACAUGGAGAAUCGGAUAUGUUGUUGGCAAGAUGUGGAAUUGGGAUGUGUUGUUAAAUCAACUAGUAUAUGUCACCAUAAUCUCAAGAUGACAAGGUGAAUUCACUCUGAUUCAACUUAUCCGAGUCAUGCCAGAAUUAUACCUAGUGGUCUUCAAUCACAUGCUUGUAUUCUUCAGAGUCAAAAGUGAGUGCAAUUUUGAGCCGUAGAUAAGGUAAUCAUCCCCCUUUCUUGGCCUUUUCCUUGGUUUUUUUCCUCUCCUUUUCUUCUGCAUGGCAAUUGCCUACGCACUUCAUCAUAUAGUUGAGUUAUAAGAUAUAUACUUAUAGUUGAUGAGAUUUUGUAGAAAAUUUUGGAAUUGCCCCAAACUGAUAAGAUGGCAUGAGGUUGAAUGCACACAAUUUUGGGAGUUGACUCAUAAGUUAAAAUGAUUCAAUGGAGUAGACGUAUUACACAAAUUUACCUCUCCGAGUGAAUAUUAAUAAAACGCACCAACAAUUGAGCAAUAUUUGGUCUUCUAAUUAUUCAGUGAUGUUCUUUGUUGUUGAAAGUCAAAAGAACAAUUUAUCAUCCGAAAAUCUGUUGAUUGAAAACCAUUUGUUUUCAAGACUAGUUAUAUUAGAAAGUUGAUUGUAGUAUGGGAUCAAGGACUAUUAUUGCCGAGGUUGGGUGAGUGAGAUUUUAUGUAUUGACCCUUUAAGUUCAUAUUUACAGAUUCUCAUUACCUCAUUAAGCAAAAUAAGAUGAGGGAUGGAUGAUACCUGAAUUGCCUGAUUCUUCUACAGCCCAAUACCCGAUAAUAUUUUUAAAGCGCCUAUCAUUUGUGAUGGUAAACUUCGGCAAGCACUCUUCUUACACAACGUGUGCUUGUCAGAAAAAUUAUUGAUGGAUUUAAUUUCCAGGAGGUUUGACCGUGGCCCAAGUAUCUUUUCAACUGCAACACCAAAGUCCCUAUGGGCCAUUAUGCAUUUAAUCCAUUUUACCCAAACGUCAUAUCAUCAAGAUAUCCAAAACGGUGCCGUAGAGGUUAUUUUGAUAAUAUGUCUAAAUACAAACUUCCAUAUUUUUUUGCGGUCGAAGUGAUUUGCCCUCACGCUUGAUCAAGAGAUCCGGACUAGUUUCCAUUUGAGAAAGUUAAAUUUACAGCCUGCUUGAGAGAAAUUAAGGAAUGGUAGGAUCAGACAAUGAAAUAUCGGAGUAUUCAAUUAAUUUGCUAAGAAAAACUCAAAAUGAAUUUUAAUAUUUUACCAUCUGAUUAAGUCAUCCAAAAAAAAUCAUAAAUGUACAAAUGCAUGCAGGUAGGUGUCCUCUUCAUGAUGGUAUGCACUGAAAUUCGCAUUAGGUGAGACCCACAAGUUCAUUUGACAUUUGCCAUAAUCAUCCCUUAAAUGAAAAUGACUAAAAUGUCUUCAUUAAUUUGCAUCAUGGUCCAUGCUUUUCGUUUUAUAUGCUUCUGCAAGUAAAGGGCAUUUAUCUUUACAGGCCUCGCUCAACCAGGUCCAUAUGCAUAUGAUGGUGGAGCUCACUUAAUCGUGUGUUACACCGCUAUCCCCCAGGAUCCCAGCCAAGCAAAUUGGGCCCACCAAACAUUCAUGGCUCACUUAUUCUUAGGUAAGCUGGUGGUGUACCACUUCCAGGAUUGGCCUUCCCAACCUAAAACCUCUCAUUUGAUGAUCAAUUUGUUUGCUUUCAGGAAAGCAUAGUCCAGCCAAUAAUGUGCCUGUGUGCAUGGUUCACCUCAAACAAAUCCAGAAAUUUGCCAAGUCUUGUUUUACAUUAACCAGCAGUCACCCGUUGCCCUGAAACUAACUUCUUUAGUGACAAAUUUGAACCUGAAUACAAACAGGUUUGUAUGAUUAAAAGCUAGUGAGAAAGGCGAGUGAAAAAUAACAAACCAAAACUAAGAAAUCAAGUAGACAUAUAGCAGAAAUAUGAACUGCCAUGCCUACAUGCUUGAAACCAAGGCCAUAUCAACAGAUCAAGUAUGUGAGCUGGAACAUGAUUUGAGUGAUGAAAAACAAAUGAUUAUGGGUGUUAUUUAUUCUAAGAUAACAUUUGGGUCCUGCAUUUGUUCCUACUAGACAACAAUUUCCAGGUGUUAUUAGUAGUAAUCCCAAAUGUCAAGAAAACUAAACAAUUUUCACAUCAAUGGCAACCCCUUAGGGUCUGAAAAGCUUGGUCGGCGCAAUCAUUCAAGUGAACCAUUGAAUUCUGAAUUCCUUGCAUUGGAGUGAAUACAAGAGAGAGCAAUAUCAGUUUCAUCCUUAAUCAGGUUUUUUAAAUUAUUUAAUGAGAGCAAAAUUUGCAACUAAUAGAUUUUGGUAAUAUAAAUUCAUUAGUCAUAAUUGUAUUCUCCUGAAGAAGGGGAUACUCAAAAUAUUACCAAUAUGAUCAGGACACCAAAAGAUUAACUGGACUGGAAAUUGAGAACAAAGAAAAUGAAAAAGAAACAGGACUGAGGAAUAGAAUAGAAGCUUAAUACAAAUUCCCAAUGCAAUUUAGAAGAUUCUAUGAAAUAAUAAACUGUAAUUUUUUUUUCUGAAAUGACAUAUGCACUUGUUUGCCAUAUCAGAGUAAAGCAAACUACUACAAAGUAGCUAAUCUGUCAUCCGAAAAAUAAGAAGUAGAGGACAAACAAAUCUAAAUAUACAAACCUCUGCAAGAAUUUCUACUGAAAGAACUUCCAUUUCUUCUCACAAUCCUGAGACUGGUGCAAGCCUCGGAUGUUCACCUUACCAGCACAUCCCUGUAUCAGAUUCAUCUCAUGAAGCCAUUUGUAUGUAACUGAAAAAAAAAUUAAAAAAAAUGCUGUAUUAGAUUCAUGAAAACGACCCAAGGAGCACAACCAACGAGGCACCCUUUAUGAGAUUGUUAAAUUUUGAAUGGUAGCCUUUCAUUGUUAAAUUUGACUCCUAGUAUUUCAUGCAAGGAAAUGCAUUUGUUCCCAAAAAAAAUAACCCGGUCAACACAGGUUUAAGAUCAAAGUAUUGCUUUAAAUUUCAAUUGUUUAUGAUAAAUAAGAGUGUAGAAAUCAACAACCCAAAAUUUUUUCCAUAUUUUCCUUCUAAAAACAAACUUAAGAUUAAGAAGUUGGUGAUGCUUAUGUCUCACCCAUCAAAGGACCAAAGAAAAAAAAAAUCAACCUCUGGUUCUUGCAUCUCAAAACUAUGCAACUAAAAUAUAAUUGUGUGAAUAAAUAUAAUAGAACAAGGGCUCCCCCUUAUUUCUUUUGGUCUAAGCUUUGAAAAGAUUGGAGGGACAGGAAUGCCAAUUUGCUAUCCAUCUGAUCACUAACUUUUGUAAUACAUCUAUUUAUGAUUCAUACGAUGGUGUCUGCAUAUCAUACAAGGUAGUUGUGUUGUAACUCCCAGCUAAACUUGGUAUGCCAAAUUUUGGCAUUCAUGUCCCUUGUGCCAAACCUCGUCGACUCAUGGAGACACGUGUAAGUUCUCAGGCCACUUUGGAGAAACCAACCUCAUCCCACCAUUUCCAUCAUUUCAGUUCAAUGUUGUUCGCUUUUAGUAAUUUCACCACAACACGCAAUUGCUUUCCUUUCAUAAUUUAUGUUGAAAUUUAGCAAAAAUAGUGAUAAUUUGAUAGAAAUCAUCCCCUCUUCUCUCCCCCUCUCCUCUCGAAAUCAGUAUUUCUAUAUAUAUAAAGAGAGAGCGCGCUACCUUUCUGGACGAGCAAAUGAGACAAACUCCUCGUUUCUUCUACAACCUUCCAGAGGAACUUCCAUGAAGGACGAUGAAAGGGAUCCCCAAGCACUGCGAGACUGAGUGGCAUGAAUGUGAAUCGAUUCAGAUGGGAAGGGCAAUAUCGUCACAAAAAAUUAAUAUGUGACGAUAAAAUAGCGAACUAGACGCCACUGCUCGAUGAGUGGAUGACUUGGGAAGCAAGCAACUAAUGAGAGUAGGAGCCUUUGAAGCUUCUUUCGUCAUCUGGUUUAUACCAUAAAAAUCAGAUUCAUGUUCCGUAAAUACCCCCACCGCCUUAAUUUAAUUACUAUUUCAGGUCUAAAACCCCACCACGCCUCGCGCCUUUUAUAAAACCCUUUCUGUUGCAAUAUUUCCUUGUUAAUGUUUUCAGCCGACGGGAUUCGCCGUGGUCUGCAGGUAAGAUGAUGGAGAUCAACGCCGGGGUCUCUUUUCCGGUCGUCUUCUUCGAUGGGGAACGGGAAAUCAACAUCGGAGACGUCGUUGUGUUUCCGUCGAUGGAGUUUAAGAAUUUCCAAUCAAUUCUGAGCCAGAAAAUUGGAAUCUCUCCACACCAGAUCUCCAUCUUCCUUGACUGUCAGAGGAAAUCGCGAUCAUCCAUGGAAACACGUCGGAGAAUUCCUAUUACCGGUAAGGUGAGUUUCUCUGCAAUUCUUCGCGAGAAGGAUUGCUUCUUUCUUGUGGUCUUGAAGCGAUCAAGGAGAGAAAGAAGGCGAAAAUCAAGACUUCUUAACGAAGUGGAAGAAGAAGAAGAGAACUUCACGACGCGGAAUACAGUAGCGCCGCCUCAGAAACUGCAUCUUCUCCGGCGAAACCAAGAGACAACCGAUCAAACAUUUUCAGGCUUCGUUUCGCCGUAUUACGAUCAGAUUAUGCCUUCGGACGACCUGUUCGUGGGAUCGCAGUUUCUAAAUUAUAAUAAUCGUCUCCAGAAUUUGCAGAUUCAACGAGAGAAGUAUUUGCGCUCUACCAAUUUGCAUUCGAUACCGAAUGAGAACUAUGACUUCCCGGUGACGAAUAAUCGAAUCGGAAGAGAUGUGAUAGUGUGCGAGGAGUGUGUGAAGGCGAUGACGAUGGGAAAACCGGUUCCCUUCCACUGGUGCGUGUACGACGCCGUCACUGUAGGGUUCCGAUCACCGGCCGGACCAAUUGCGAGGCCUGUCAAACGUUCCAAUUAGGGUUUGAAGGUCCACGUUUUUAUUUUAUUUUAUUUUGUUAUUUUGAUGAUGAUGAUGAUGAUGAUGAUUUGAAUUGAACCCAAGGAGACUUCCGAUUUAGGCUUUCUGCUUAGGAACAGGAAACAAUAGUGUUGGGGGGUGGUGAUGGUGGUGCGAUGUGGCAUACGAUAAGGAAGGUAUACCACACGCGAUACCACAUAGAUUACAGAAGAUACUAGGACUAGGAAAUUAUACAAGUGUUGAUAUACGUGUAUGGAAAAACGCCCUUUGGGAAAGGGUCCAAGUUGACAGAUCUUUUUCUGUAUUUUUCUUUUUUUCUUUGGAUUCUUGAGAGAGUGAGAAGCUCUGCUUCAUUGCUUGAAAUGGUGAGACACACCACUUGGAAUUGUUUUCCACCCCAUUCCAUUUUCAGGAUCGUAACACUACUUUGGGAUUAGGCCCUACAGGAAUUUAAUUCCCAUUGGCGUUUUGAUUGGAAAUUUGGUAUAUGAAUGAAUUGUCAUCGUCUCUUUUCUUUUCUGGGUUCAUGGCUUACCAUUUUUACUUGUAUUUUAAUGGAAAUGUUGUAUUUUUUUAUAGUUUUGGUCAUAUUUUAUAUUGGAUGGUGGUGGUGGUGGUGGUUGUUGUUCUUGUUAUUUGUAGGAGAGGGGCCUUGUCAUGGAUGACUAAUUGGAAAUUAUUGGUGUUGGUUGGGAAUUAUAUUAUUGGCACAUUAGAAUUUUCAAUUUUUGAUAUUUUUUGUGAAGAUUAAUUGUAUUCUUGUAGUUUUUGGGUGUCAUGUGAAUUUUUCUGAGGGAGGCACAUGGCGCAUUCUCUAUCACAGAUGAAAUAAUGGCCACGGAUGGGAGGAGUUUGUCAGAAGAUAACUUAAGACUAAUAAAUAGAGUUGUUAAGAUGUAAAUUGUUACUAUAUGUGUGAAAAUAACAUAUGCAUGUGGUUAUUAUUAUGUGUACAGGCUCUUCUUUAGGUCUUAAUGAUGAUAAGGAUUUGAUAUGCAGUCUACUUAAUGGUAAUUACUAAUUGCCUUGAAAACUGACUUAAAAGAGUUCGCAGUAAAAUAUGAUUUUGACCUUUUUCAAAAAGGAUACAAGGAUCGAGGGAUAGUGAUUAACAUUAACAGCACUGAAAAUUAAUGAAGAUUUAAAAAAAUUAAAAAAAAAAUAGAACUCCGAAACAUAAUUUAUACUCAUCUUAGAAAAAUUUCUUAUAUUUUUUAGCAACUAAACAUAUUUAGAAAUCAUAAUGAUUAUCCAAUUACCAAUUUCCUACAAAUUACAUAUUAAUCAUUAUCAAAAUUUAUCAUAAUAAUAAAUUAUGAUAUCUUGAAAUAUUUGAAAUAAUGUUAAAUUACUAUUUUUUUAAUUAUUAUUUUUAAAAUUAAAAUAAAAACAAAUAUAAUAAUUAUGUUUAUAAAUAUUUUAACAUGUAAAAAUAAAUAGAUCUAACAUUUAACAAUCAAUAGUAUUCUAAUAUUAAUAAAAAAAUAAACAUUUAAUGGUAACUUAUAAAAACUACCUUCCAAUUAUUAUUAUUAUUUUUUUCUCAAUUUCUUAUCCUCUCAUUUCCCCUUCCUUGUGCAAACCAUUAAGGCUAUGUUUUGGUAGCAAAAAACAUCAAGAAAAAAAAAUACUUUUAUCAAUUUUAUUACAAAAACCACAAAAAAAAUAAAAUAUAAUUAAAAUUAGUUCUAAGUUUAUAUAUUUUAAUUAUUUAGUCCAAUGAGAAAAAUAAGUGAAAUAAGAUUAAAAUUUUAUAUAAAAAUAUUUUAUUAACUUUAAAUUUAUAUUUUUAUUAGGUUAUGUUUUAUGAUAAAAUAAAGUUAUCCAAAGAUCUUAAGGCUAUGUUUGUUUUUUUUAAAUUUUUGAAGGAAAACAAAUAGUAGGGAAAAAAAAAAAAAGAUAAUAAAUAAAUAAAUUUAAAUUUAAUAAAUUAUUUUUAUAUAUUACUUCAAACUAAUUUCACUUAUUUUUUUCAUUAUAUUUAAAAAUAAAAUAUUGUAAUAUGCGUAAAGUUUUAACUAAAUUUAAUUUUAUAUGUUUAUAUUUUUUAUAAUUAAACCACAAAAAAUCAUGUUUUUUUAACUAUUUUGUUUCUUUUCUCACUACCGUUUUGAAGCCAACACAUUCUCCAACAAUAUAAAUUUUAAUUCCAUAUUCAUCUUAACAUUCAACACCAAAAUAAUAAUAAUAAUAAAAUAAAAAAUCAUUUUCUUUUUCAAAAUUAUAGAUAUAAAUUUAUUUUACCAUAUUUUUCUUAUUAUUUUCCAAAAAGUAUUUUAAUAUCAAUCGUGUAUAGUAAAAUUGGUUUAGGUAUAUAUUUUUAUCUUACAAAUAUAUAUAUUAUGCUAAAAAACACGUGUUAAUAUUUUUCCCACUAAAACGUUAUAAAGUGUUUUUGACGUUGAAAAUCUUAAAACAAAUACUAACAUUUUAGUUUGGGAAGUGUUAUUAAAAAUAGGUUUCUAUUUUUUAUAAUAAAAAAUAAAAAAACACCUUUAACAAAAUUUUGAAUUAAAAAUAGUUAUUUUUAAGGAUUUCUUUACAAGACAUUGUUAUAUAAAUAAUUAAAAAUUAUUUAUAAAUACGAUUUCAAAAUUACUUUUUUGAGACCUCUUUACGUUAGUAAUGAAAAUCCUGAUUUUAAUAUUAUAAGUAAUCAGUAAUUAUUAGAAAUGAAAUCAGAAUUUUUUCUUAUUUUUAUUUUUAGUAUAAAAUUUUUGGAAUAAUAAUAAUAAUAAUAAUAUGUUCGCAUUACAUUUUCAGAAAACAAAGUACGCUAUUGGUUGGGUUUUUGAAUUAAAAAGCAAGUUGACAACUGUUGAACCGCAUCUUCUACCAACCAAGGGUCUAUGCCAGUCGACUGUACAUCACGUGCAUAUCAACGACCAUAAGAAAGCAGGUUUCAAGCCAAGAUUGGCGAGUGGGGGCUAUUUCCUACUCGAGAGCGUGCAGAAGGCAUGGAAAUAAGACAGAAAGGAGAGGGGGGUUUUGCUGGGGGUUUUUGAAGAGCCAAAACGGCAAAACGGGCGAGUUAGUGGAGAUUGUAGAGCGCCGAGGAAAUCGCAGAGGGGGAGUGGUCACGUGAGUGCAGUACUCUUUCUUUCUCUCUAGCGAAGAUGAAAGAGAUUGCCGUAGCGCGUAUUCCCUCUCUUAUUUCUGGAGAGAGAAAAUCGUAACGUCAUUUUGAAAGCUGAGCGCUCUCUCUCGGUUCUCUCUCUUUAGCCUCCCUCCGUUCCCCAGAUGAACAUUUUGGUUUCAAACCCUUGAAAUUCCCUCUCUUCUCUCAUCUUCUUUUGUCUUCUCUCGAAGUUGGGUUUUGCUAGGGUUCCAAUCCUUUGUUUUAUGCUUUUUAAAAAUGGCGGAGUUUCCUCCAAAUUUAGAUGAUGGAGAACUAUGGCUUCCUUCUGAUAUUUUCCCAGAGGAAGUUCCUUCUAAAUUUGGGACCCACCACUUGCCUUCUGAGUUCGCUUACAUGAGCGACAUCGCUCGGCAGUUUGCUGCUUUCACUUUGCUUCAGCCGCCCCAGACCCAUCCUAAACAUCCUCUAAACUUGGCACCAAACUUGGAGGUUACUCUCUGUCCCUUGUGUUCUCUAUUUAACUAAGCUUCAGAGGAUUUGCAUUCACGUUGAUGCUUUGAUUUGUGGGUUUGCAGCGGUUGAGACCGAUGAUUAGGUAUGGGCCGUAUGGCCGUCCCGGUUGUAGCACCACUGUUGCAGUAACUGGAAUUGGUGACAGCCCUUGUGUGUGUGACAGUCCUUGUGGGUGUGACUGCCGACUCCGGAGCUGCUGGGACGGUGGUAGGCCGUUGUACGAGUACCGCAAUGUGAAACCGCCUCAACCCCAGGUAAAAAAAAGGGGAAAAACUGCGAAAAGGACCGUUUGUGUUGAGUCAUUUCAAAGCUUUUCACUUUUUCAGCUUUAAUACACAGGUCGAUAGCUUUCUGCAAACAAGGACUUUGGCUCUGCAGAGGCACCAAAACCGCUUUCAGAACCGGUCUUUGCCGUUUCAGAGAAGCGGGUCUGGGUUGGGUGGUGGUGGUGGUGGUGGUGGUGGUUUUGGUUUUGUGAGAAACUAUGGAGGGACAGGUGUGUUUCUUCCCCGUAUUUCAUCCACAACCACCACUUCUCCAAACCCCACCGCCACUGAUGACUCUAGAAAGAAACAAGGUGAGUUGUUACCGUUUUUCUUUCUUUGGGCACUUUUGAUAUAUUUGGUGUGGAUAUCUGCGUUUUCCGCUUUAGGUCUGCUAUUAUGUCUUUUGUUUAUUUUAGUUCCCCAUAUUUUAUUGCUUUUGCUUGUCGCCUUUGUCUUCAAAACAUAGAACCAGCUUCAAAUUCUUUAUCUGGGUUUUGCUUCGUUGGGAAUCUGGAACCAUUUUUCUUUUCCUUUUUUUUUAUCAAAAAGAAAAUUACUUUCAGACUUUAGGAGGCAUUUAUUGUGGUGAACUGUUGUUGGUUCCAGUCUUCUUUCAGUUUUUUCUUUUGUAGUUUUUCAAAUCUCAGUCAAAGAAAGCACUAAUUUGCAACUGCUCAAUUCAGAUGCUUGACAGUUACUAUGUUCAUAACCUCCUGUUUUUCUUGAAUUUUGUCAUUUAUUUCGGUUAUAGUUUAAUAGUUUAUUGGGUCUGGCAUUUCUGUUGAAAUUGUUUUGUCCAUCUAUCAAUAUGAGCCUGCUGCCCAUGGUGUGGUGCCAAUGCAGCUUAUUAUAAUGCUUAACAAACCAAUGGACUGAAAUAUAUCUAAUAAAACUUUGUCGCCUUUCAUUACAAGUCUGAUAAAGAAGUCAGUGAAUCUAAUUGACAAACAAAAUGUCUUUAGCAAUCUAUAUGGAUUUCUUCUUCUCUUAUUCCACAUCUCUUUUGUUGAUAUCAUUAUUCCUUGUCUAUGGUUGCCUGGUCCAGAAUAUGAAAAUGAACAAUUUUAAGGAUAAUUUGCGAUAUUUUGUUUUCAUUUAUCUUAAUCUAAGGAUGAAACAUUGGCAGGCAUGAACAAUUGGCAUGGGAUGCAAGUCAGUUUACCGAGGAAACCAACCAUGAAUGGCAUUGGUGGGGGGAAACAAGAGGAGUGCAUCCGCCAGCUUCCUCCUGAGCUUGCCUUGCCUCAAGACUGGACCUACUGAGUUCCUCUUCUUCCUUGUAAAGAGUUACUCUAGUGGCAGUGUGGAACAUAAGGAAAUAAGAGCUCUAAGCAGGACAGAAGUCAAAUAAUCAUUUGGGUUUUGUGUAGAACUAAUAGAAAUUACUAUUAAAGCUGAAGUGGGUAAUCCUUUCUUUUAGUAAGGCUCUAUAACUUUGUAGAAUAAAUAAUGGGUUUGAAGCUUUUUGUAGGAAUUUGCAUUGUUUCGUUAUUUACAUUACUGUCAGCCCUCAGAAAACAUUGUUUCUGCCCUAUUGUUUUCUUCUUUGUGCAGUAUUGAAUGCUUAUAGCUGGAAUAACACAGCACUGCUAAAAGGACUAUUGCUUCUUGUGUUGGGCUUUCAGUUGGUGAAUCCAUGAAAGGCACAUUAAUGACUCUGCUGCAGUCAUGGAAUGUUAAUUGAAAUCUGCCAACCUUUAGGAAAUUUUUGUGUGUAAUUUUCUCAAGGCAAUUUUCAGUGGUGGAUUUUUGGGUUUGGAAUCAUUCAUAGGGUAUUGAUGAUUUUUUUCCCUCCAAGCAAAUGGUUUGAAUUGUAUAGUCUUUACAGCCUGUUCACAAUACCAGCUUUUAUAGGAAGGAAAUAAAUGAGUUACUUAGAUGCCAACUUGAAACCAACCUUACGAUGAAGUUGAAAGCUUAUGAAUAGGGAAGGGCUUUUUGUGGAAAUUUUUAUUACACCAGUCCGAACUUUAUGAAUUGUUUUUACUUUUUGUUUCUCUCUUCUAAGGAAAAUUUAUGAAUGCCCUCGCUCACUUCAACUGCCUUCAUUCUCAUCCUAUUUAUGCGCUUGAAGCAGAUACCCAAUUCACUUAAUGUAUGGUGUGCCCAUCCAUCUAAACCUAAUAUACCUUAACUACUACCCCAUAUGGGUUUUAUGGAGCAGUGUAUUUUUAAAAAAUUCAUAAUAUAAAAAAUAAUUCUAAAUUUAUGAUAUCUUUGAAUUUUGAAUAAAAUUGAGUUUACUUUUACAUUGAACUCCUUUUUUGAAAUGGGUGAAUUUAAUGUAAAAAAACAAGUUUAAUGUAGAAAAUGUAAACUUUUUUUUUUUUAAAUAUGAGUAAUAAAAAAAAAUUAAGUUCAAAAGAAGAAUUCAAUAUAAAAAGUUUUAAAGUUAAAAGGAAAUUCAUUUUCUUAAGAAAAAAGAGUAGAAAAAAUAACGAGUUUAGUACAAAAAUAAAAGAAGUGUUGAAAAGUUCUGUAUUUUUAUAUUUGUUUUUAAAUAAUUAUAUUUCAAUAAUAUUUUAUUUUUUAAAAUCCCCUAUUCUCAGGACGGUCACAUGAAUGCAUUUACAAAAAAAAGAGAAUUGUCGUUGUCAUUACAAUUGUUUUAAGAAAAUUAAUUUAUUAUAUAAAAAGGAAUGUUUUAAAUUUAAAUAAAAUUAUUUCUUUAAUUUAAAGAAAAUAUUUAAAUUAUUUUAAAAUUUUAUAAAUAUUAAUUUAAUAAAAAAAAAACUUGCUAUUUGAAUUUACAUAAAAUUGCAUUUAUUCCUUCCUUUUAAAAAAAAGUAAUAAAUGAAACAUGAUUUAUUUUAUUUGUAGAUAUGAAGGGUAUUUUUAUGUACAUAUGUCGUGCGAACCUUUUCGUUGUGACAGAGGAGGAGCCCAAUGUGCAUAAUAAUGACAAUUGUCCAUCCAAUUACAUCAAUGAUAUGGCAUAAAAAUACAUAAUUUUCAUUUUUUUCAAAUAUAUAUGUGAUGUAAUAUACAAAAAGUUAAAUGAUGAAAUUUAAUAAAGAGUAAUGUUUGCAUGACCGUGUACAUUAGUAAUCUCAUGAAAUUGAAGCUUUCAAUUUGACAGAAUGAUAUGUUAUUUUUUAUUUAUGAGAAGAUUUCAUCUCUUAUUUAGUAAAUUUGUAUUAAGGGUUUAGUGACAUUUUCAUAUGGAUUUAGUAAUCUGAUCUUUAUUUAUACACUUCUCGAUAGAUGAUAGCUUAAGACAAAUACAUUUCAUCUGGCAUACGAGGAGAUGAUUAUUACAUUAAAGGACUCGUCGAUCAUCCUUAGCAUCCUUAUAUCGAGUAUAAUCAUAUUUACCACAAUAUAUGAUAAUGAUCAUACUAUGACAUAACUAGUUAAUAGAAUACUUGAGUUGUUAAGUCUAAUGUCUAAAUAAAGUUAUACAUGUAUAGAAAAUAGUCAAUUUGUUUAAGAUGGUUGAGAGAGCUUUAUAGUGAUGUUACUAUGUAGACGAGUGAUAAUAGGGUCCAAUAACUUGCUCAAGAUACACUUACAUAUCUAUCUCAUUAGUUAAGCCUUAUGACACAACGAUAUGUCAAAUCAAUUGUUGGAUACACAACAUUACUUGAGAUAUAGUCAUAAACAUCAAUAUUUCUCUUAUACUACAUUAUCAUGCAAAAGAAGAGUACUUUAAACUCUCAUAGGGCUGGGGAUAUGGGUAUAUCCCUAUAUUUGGAUCUCACCAAAAUAUAUAAUUUGUAUGAUCCAUUAGGAUUGCUUUUGCCAUCUAUGCAAGAGCGAUUAGAUGUCCUAUCCAUAGAUAAUAUAAGACAUUGUAAUUCAUAUAUUUUUUUUCCCAUAUAUAUAUAUAUAUAUAUAUAUAUGUAUAUAAUGUGGUUGAAUCUAUUGUUCAUGCAUUUUUUUUAGUUUAUUUUGGAUCCCCAUAUAUUUAUCCAAUUUAGUUAUUGAGCCACAAAUUAUAUCAGACUGUCGAGUAAGAAUAGCAAUGAGACAAGUCUUUUAAGUUUGUUUCAUCUCAAUUAUAUGUAUAAUUAAAUAAAAAAGAAUUUAAUUCAACUUUUUUUUUUGGGUUUUUUUAACACAAAAUAAAAAUAAUUUAUUUUUUAGUAAAAAAAAUUAUAAAAAAUUACAACAUUUUUUUAUUUAUAAAUUAUAAUCAUUUUAAUAAAAUAAAAAUCUUUAAAAAAAAUAAAUAAAUGGGGCUAAGCAAGUUGAUUCGAGAAUUUUCACUAUCCACCACGAUUUUCACAAUACAUUGUGACUUACUUGGUUUAUUUUUUAUUUUUGGAUCGAGGACGAGAAUUGAUUUAAGUAAUUGAGGUGGGAUUAGGAUGGAAGUGACAUGUUUUGUUUUCAUCAUUGAGUCCUAUCAUCCAAAUAGAGAAUUGAUGUUAUUUGGUACGGUACCGUCCAAAGCAAGAGCACCGUUUUCACCUUUUAACCAUUAUAAAGGUGUUAGCAUGGUUAUGAAUGCAUACUUUGACUAGAUCUAAGAUCAUUUGGAUGAUUGCAUAUCAUAUGCUAUCAUGUAUGGUGUACUUGUGAUGUAUUCAUUAGAUUGUGCUCUUUAUUAUAUGCAUUAAUACAAAUGGGUCUCACUCAUAUGCGUACAAAAGCCAUAUUGAAGUUAGUGGCUAUCCUAUUUCAACAGCAUGUAUAAAUAACUAAGCACAUCGUGCAACUGACUUAGAGACAUGAAAUUAUCGUAGAAAUUUAGAAAUUGUUUGGUAACUGUCUUUUAAAAUAAUUUUUUGUUCUUUAAAAUGAAAAAGUAAAAAAAUAUUUGAUAAUUAGAAAACUAUUUUUUGUUUUUUUGUUUUUAAAAAUAGAAAAUAAAGUGUUUUUAAAAAACGUCUUUUAAUUGUUUUUAAUUAUUUUUUUAUGUUUUAUGAGGAUUAUUUUAAAAAAUAAUUAUAUAAAUAUGUAAAAUAAUUAAAAAUAAAGUAUUAAAUAUAAAAAUUAUUUUUAAAAAUAUUAAAAACAUUUCAAGUUCUCAAACAAACUUUUAUUCUACAAAACAUCAUAAAAUAGUUUUUAAAGAUUAUUCUAAAAAAUUGUUUUCGAAAAUAGUUAUCAAAUAAGGUCUUAACAUGAAUAAACUUAUACCAAAGCAUGGAACAUAUUGAAAAAUUAUUUUGGUCGCCUUUAGGGAUGACAAUUGAGCGGGUUUGAGAUGAGACACUUUUAUCCCAUGCUCAUCUUAAUCAUAUAAUUAUUAUGAAAUAAAAGCUAAUUAAUUAAGUAAAAACACUCCAGAGGAGGGUGAAUUGAGUUUUAAAAUUUUUUUUUCAAAAACUAUUCUCAGGUUAUAUUGAAAAAAAUUAAUAGAAAUGAAGAGAUGAGAGUUAAAGAGAUUGCAAACUCAAAUUUUAUAGUAGUUCAUCCAAUUUCGCCUAUGUCCACUCUCCUUAAGUUUUUUCCAAGUGAGGGUUCUACUAGUAUGAAGCUUCAAUCAAGCUUUCAAGUCUUUACAAUUGGAUUUCCCGGCUCUAAUGAACACUACAAUCAAUCCUUCAAGUUUAUCCCCUACUUCAAGACUAAGCAUUCAACCUUACUUGAAUAAUAAAGAUUUAAAGCACUUAAAUCUAGCACAAUUAAUAAACAAGUACAAAAAAGACUAGGAUGAACACAAAGGUACACUAGAAAUGAAUUGCAAGUGAUAGCUUAAUAUACAAAUGAGAUAAUGAGAGCUUUGAAAGUGAGAAACAAGUAGGUAGAUAGUUUAAUGUAGGUGUUCUCUUAUUAAUAAAUGAAUAAGAGCUCUCUAUUUAUAAGUUUUUAACCUCAAGCAUAAAAGUACACUAAUAAACUUUUCUCAAUUGAGUUUCAAUCAAUUGGCUGACUAGUCAGUAGACAAUUAAUGUUUGACAGGUGAUUAUUAGAGAUUCGACUAGAACUUGACUGGGAAGAGGUACCCAUCGACUAAGAAGACAUUUCUCUCGGUCGGGAGAGUAAUCUUUUUGGAAGAAAGAGAAAAUUUUUGCACCCCUCAAUUGGUAUUUGAUUGAGAAAGGGUAACCAAUCAACCAAUUCUUUAUUUGGUUCAGUAGGUUCAACCCAUCCUCCACCUAUUGGAUAUAUUUUGUUCAAAAACCUAUCUUUUUCCAUCUUUAAUAAUUUUUAUAAAACAAAUUUGAGAAGUUUUUUUACUAAGGUUUUGGAUUAAUACUUGAGUUUAUAAAAAAAUACGAUUUUUUAAGUCUAAAACGAGUAUGAAAAAGAUGCAUUUAUGAAUUCAAAUUCCUAAUUGCACCCAAGUGAUCACCUUACAUUGAGUCUCUAUGCUUUGAAUAAUCUUCAUGCUCUUUUGAACUUGCAUCUCUUAGAUCGUUAACUUGAUUUCUCAUUUGAAUUAUUUGAUUAAUACUUGAAGUUUAUCUUGAUUUGAAAUGUUAGUAUACUAAGUUAUCAUCAAAAUAUAAUUAGGGAACAUUUAGGCCAACAAUUAUUUUUUAUACUUGUCCCAAACCCAAAAUGGGAUGGGUAGAAGGAUUCUCGUUAAACAUAAUAAUCUUGUUCUUGGCACACCCCAUCAAACUAUAUCUUUGAUGUACCUCCAACUCUAAUUGGUCAUGUUCUUUCUCAAGCUUUAGUUUUUUUUUUUGUAAAAUAAGUAAUAUAAAAAAAUAAAAAUUUUGAUUAUAAAAAUUAAAUUUAUGGUAUAUGAGUUAUGCAUCUCUUAUAUCUUAACUUAAAAUUAAUAUAGAUAUAAAAAAGAUAGUAAAUAAUAUAUCUCACUAUUCAUCAUAUAAUAUGUUUAAUCAAAUAUGAAAUAUGUCAAAUGAUAAAAUAACUAAUCAUAUCUCAUAAUCAACAAAAAAAAUAAUAUAAUAUUUCACUUUUUAUUCUAUCAUAUUUUAUAUCCCCAAAACAAAAAAUAGCUAAAGAGAGAGCAGAUAAUUGUAAAGAAGAUGAUAUGAUAAGGUUAGAGUGUUGAAAAUUGUAAAUAUGAUGAUAUGGAGAUAAAUAAAUAAUUGAUGAAGAAUAUGUUUGGGAGUGAUUUUAAAAAACGUUUUUAAUAUUUUUAAUAUUUAAAUAAUAAAAAAUUUUAAAUAUUAAAAAUAUUAAAUAAUUUUAAAUAUUAAAAAUGUAAAAAAAGGCUUCUAGAAUCAUGACUUUAAAUUUUGAUUAUCCUUCUAUUAGGUUUUUGGUAGGAAGAUGGUAGGGUUUGCUUUAACAUUAGAAGUUACAAUGAUGUUUCAACUUUGACGCCACACGUGGCGUUGGCUUAGCCGCUUUGGUGCUGUAAUCGACUAAUUUCUUUAGGUGAAAGUUUAAACCAUGUGUUCAGUUACGGCCACGUGGAACCAGCAUCCUCGUUGCAUAAACGCAUGCACUUUCUUCCCCGGACAUGCCGGACGAGUGAAUUUUAAGGAAGGUUCGAUGUUUUAGGAAAGUUUGAAAAAGCAUCGAACGGGAUUCUGAGAUUUUGAAUUCCCUUGAUGAACAAAAUCUAUACAAUUUAAAAAUCACGCAACAAAUCAACCAAAAGAGAAAUUCCAAAGAAUCCAAAUCCACUCAACCCAUCCAAACAAAAUAAAUUCACAAAAACGACUCACAUUUUGGAAUUCACUUCAUCAAUCUCUGCGAUGGGUGUUCCUCAGGCCAUGCAAACCCUAAGCGAGAGAGCAGCAUUCACGAGGGAGUCUCUGCAAAAGAGCCAGACCAUCACGGAUAGUAUGGUCGCCAUUCUCGGCUCCUUCGACCACCGCCUCUCCGCUCUCGAAACCGCCAUGCGUCCCACUCAGGUGUUUCUUCAUUUUCUCCUCGUUUGGUUUCCGUGAAAAAUUCAGGAAAGGACAAGAAAAUGGAAAGAAGAUUGCGGGCUUUAUGAGUUCUGUUUUUUGAUUCUCACAAAAUUUGGGUGGAAAAAAAACACAACAAAUUGUGGAAUCUAGGGUUUGCUUCCGUGUUCAUUCGAUUUGUGGGUUGAAUUUUUUUACGGCCACAAUGAAAUCCUCCUGACUGCUUGAUUUGAAUAAAAAAUUGUUAAAAGUGUUUUGAUAUGUUAAUUUGGAUUUGAUUUUGGUAGAUAAGGACGCAUUCGAUUAGGAAGGCCCAUGAGAAUAUAGAUAAGACACUGAAGGCGGCUGAAUUGAUACUGGCCCAAUUUGAUCUCACCCGCAAGGUUGGUGUCUCUUUCCGGCUCCUGUUUAAAUUGAUUUUAUGUCAUUCUUGAUUUCAGUUUGUCAUGUUGUGUAUAUUUUAACAUAGUUGAAAUUAUUAUGAGCUAAUGAAUUAUGCUUAUUGCUUCACAAUUAUGUACAAUGAUGAGAAGCACUUCCAGGACUCUGCUUUUAGAUUUUCAUUCAUCUGGUUUGUAAUACUCGAUCAAAAGAUUUUGCAUUUCCCCCCCUGUUCGGUUAACUGAGAGAACUCAUUAACAUUUAUACAAAAUCACAUGCAGAGACAAGUGUUAGGUGCAAAAAUGAGUUGCGGAUUGAGAAAAUAGCCCAUUCUAUAGCUUGGUGGUAACUGGUAUAUCUAUUUCAUGCUUUUAAUGUUUAUAAAUGAGACAUAAAUUGGGGGUGAGGCCAGAUAACAGGAAGGUAACCUCCUUAUUGAUUGUGGUUGUAUCACAAAAGAGGAACCUUCUCUAUCUAUUGGGUGAUGGAAUCAAUGUUUUGAAAACCGGACUGGGUAGUCUGACCGGUUGGACCGUCUAUUGGUCUUCUUCUUAAUCUAGGUAGCCUCUUUCAGCUGUUUUGAAGUUGAACUGGUCAAGAACCGACCAAACUGGCUAGCUGGUUUUACCAAAUUUGGCCGUUUUUACCAAAACUGUUCAUCUUGGAUCUCUUGUCUAAAAAAGAGAACUACUACAACAAUUGGGCUGCACCACUCUUUUAAAUAUAUUACGAUUUAAAUUCUUUUUUUUUAUAUUAUGAUUUAAAUAAUAUUAUCUACCGGCUUAAUAAAUCCAUAUAAAAUGAAAAUUUUGAAAUAAAUAUGAAAAUAAUUUAGGUUAACGAAUAUAAUAAUUUUUAAGAUGAUAGAAUGUAGAGUAUGUAGUUGUUGAAAUCUAGAUUAAAUAAUAAAAGUUUAUUUCAUUUUGGAUAUAUCUUUUUAAUAAUAAAAUAUUAUAAUUUGAUCUAUUAAUAUUAAAGAUAAAAAAGAUGAGGAAAAUCUUUAAGUUUGGGACAGGUUGUUCAACCCUAAUCAAACCAUGACAUUAACAUCAUAUUAUAAAAAUAUAUAAUUUAUAUAUUAUUAAAAUUUAAAAUAACUAUAUUAAUUUAUAAUUUGAUCUAUUAAUAUUAAAGAUAAAAAAGAUGAGGAAAAUCUUUAAGUUUCUUAAUAUAUAUAUGCCAUUAAACUAGAAAUGCAAUUGACACACAGUGUAUAACUAUACAUGGUCUAUUAAUGGGAAAUGUCACACAUUGGAUAGGGGAGAAAGUUUCUGACGUUAUAUAUGUAUGUGCUCCUCUUAACCUUGUAGACGUGUUUUAAAGUUAUGAGGACCCCUUUGGGUCCAAAGCGGACAAUAUCUACAUGGUUGGGUGUGGGUCGUUACAAAUGGUAUCAGAGCCGAUCUUUGAUCCCAGAGCAGGGGUUUGUUUGGACUCAUAAGGGGUGUUUGUUUGUUUGACCCUAUAAUCCCAUGGGUUACAACGAGAACGUUGUGUCUGUAUAAGGAAGUAUUCAUGAUGUCCUACAUCGGAUAGGGGAGAAAGUUCAUGACAUUAUAUAUGUAUGUGCUCUGCUUAACCUUGUAGACCCGUUUUAAAGCUGUGAGGAUCUCUUUAGACCCAAAGCGGACAAUAUUUACAUGGUUGGGUGCGAGUCGUCAAAAUUCCCACUAAUACACUGUGUGUAGUUAUACACCAUGUGCCAACUACAUUUCUGGUUUAAUGGCAUAUACAUAUUAAGAAACUUAAAGAUUUUCCUUAUUUUUUUUGUUUUUAAUAUUAAUAGAUCAAAUUAUACCUUAAUAUAGUUAUUUUAAAUUUUAAUAAUAUAUAAAUUAUAUAUUUAUAAUAUGAUGCUAAUGUCAUGGUUUGAUUGGGAUUGAACUACUUGUCCCACUAAUACACCGUGUGCCAACAACAUUCUGGUUCAAUGGCAAGUUCAAUUCUGAGAACGUUGGUUACAAUCACCUUGGACUCUACUAUUCUAGAAGUUUGAAAUAGGUUUUAACCAAUGUAAGGCUUCUCUAUUCAUCAAAAUUGUGGACCAUCCCAGUCUUUCCCCAUAUCUUUAUGCAAGCCAAAAAGAUUGCAUAGACUUUUAAAUUAAUUAAUAAACUAAAUGAUAACUAGAGUUUAUUGUUUUUAUUAAAAAAAUGUAGGUUGUGUUUUUUUUUUUUUUUGGUUAUUGGAGGGUGUGUUUUAUUGGUUAGUGGAGCUAUUAAAUUAUUGUUAUCUACCAGAAGUUUUUGAACAUUAAGAUAGUGUCAGUCUUCUCUUCUCUGAAAACUUCGAUUUUUCCUUAUUGCGUGUGGUGAUUAACAUCCAUUAUGUAUGGUAGCUCCAAAACAAUACUUCAUAGCACAUAUGAUCUGUUUCUCUAUGUUGAUCUCAAUUUUUCUUCAACUUUUAGGCGGAGGCUAAAAUACUGAGAGGGCCACACGAGGAUCUAGAAAGUUACCUAGAAGCAAUGGAUCAACUGAGAAGCAUUGUUCAUUUUUUCAACUGUAACAAAAGUUAUAAGAGCAAUGCUGGAGUGCUUAAUCAUGUCAAUAACUUACUUGCAAAAGCUAACUUAAAGAUAGAAGAGGAGUUUAGACAGCUCUUGACAUCUUACAGGUUUGUUCUUUUGCAUAUACUCAGUGUUACUAUUAUUUAUGAUUUCUUGGUUGGAACCCUGGCAAUCUCAUUCCUGGAAGCAUUGUGCUUCACAACAAAUGUUUCCUGACAUAAAUUUUCUGAGAUGAAUGAAAAUUGGUUUUUUAUUUAUAUUUUGUUUCUUGUGCAUGAAACAUAUUUUGGACUUUUGGCAAGUUCUAAUUCUUUCAAUCAGGGUUGAGUAACUGUCUUUUCAUUUGUAGCUGCUGAAGUUGUAUCUCUUUUGGAUUUCAGCAAACCAGUGGAACCUGAUCGCCUUUUUGAUUGCCUCCCCCACUCUCUACGACCAUCAUCAGGGUCUCCUGGGCAUCAGGGUGAAGCUACUGGCAAGAAUCCUUCUUCUACCAAUCACUCUGAGCACAACAAAAGCUUAGAAACUGCUGUUUACACUGCUCCAACUCUUAUUCCACCCAGGAUUCUGCCAUUGCUGCACGAUUUAGCCCAACAAAUGAGUCAAGCUGGUCACCAACAACAACUCUACAAAAUUUAUAGGUGAGAUUUUUUUAUUUUUUUUUAACUCUGUUUCUGAUGCAUUAACAUUGCCCAACAAUUUCUUUUCCUAGUAUCACGGAUUUUUAUUUUAUACACACACACACACACACACACACACACACACACACACACAUAUAAUAGAAAUAUAUUUGAGAAUUGUCAUCAUUGAAUCCCACUUCAAUGCUAUUUUUUGUUUUUAUUCUAUCUGUAAGCACAUGGUAAGCAAUCUAAAGUGAUUCUUGUUUGUAGUUAUCAUUUUUGUUUUGGAUAGGCACUUUGCCUGUAGUCAUCAUCAAUUUCUUCAUAAGCUGGGAAAAUUGAUAGUUAAUAUGUUUAUAAUCAUGCAGAGAAACCCGUGCUUCAGCUUUGGAACAGAGUCUCAGGAAAUUAGGUGUGGAAAAACUUACUAAAGAUGAUGUCCAGAAGAUGCAGUGGGAAGUUUUGGAGGCUAAGAUUGGAAAUUGGAUUCAUUUCAUGCGGAUUGCUGUAAGGGUUUACUAGGAACUGGAUAGGAUUAUUUGUGUGUGUGUGUGUGUGUGUGUGUGUGUGUACGUAUUUUCUCUUAAUCCAGCCAUUUCAUCAUGCUUGUAACAGGUCAAAUUGCUAUUUUCUGGGGAAAAGAAAGUCUGUGGUCAAAUAUUUGAUGGUGUUGAUUCUCUCAGGGAUCAAUGUUUUGCAGAAGUUACUGCAAACAGUGUAGCUGUGCUCCUUAGUUUUGGAGAUGCUAUUGCCAAAAGCAAGAGGUCCCCUGAAAAAUUAUUUGUUCUCUUAGACAUGUAUGAGAUAAUGCGAGAACUGCAUUCAGAGGUAUGAUUUAUAUAACUAGUUGCAUAAACACUGAAUUAUGGAUACUAAACUAGCCAGCAGAUUGGAAGUUGAUAUUGGUUAUGUGAAGUUUUAGUGAGCUGCUUCUAAGGUUUCCCAUAAUUUUGGAGGAAAAGCUUUGUUGCAAUUAAUGGAACCUAUAUGAAACUACUUGAGCUGUCAAUAGGCAGACAACAUAAAACAAUUUUCAUCAUUGCUUAGGAUAGAAAAUUUGCACUUUUUCCUCCAAUACCACUUGUCUCCUAUUCUUAAAAUGUGCAAGGUGCACCUAAGUUGGAAAAGUCUCCUAUGGCUUAGGCACGAGGUGCAGCACAAGGCAUGCACCUGAGUGAAGUGAAAUGCGAGUUAUGAUGUAUAGCAAUUUUAUAAAUAUGAUCCAAAAUCCAAUCCAAUCAACAAAAAACUUGAGAUUUCAAAUAUUUAAAAGAAGCAUUCAACAAAAAAGUAAUGAAAUAAUAUAAACUUCAAUAUAUAGUUAAAUUUUUUAAGAAUAAAAGUGUUUAAAAAGGAAGGGUAAAGUAGAUGAGGUGUGGCUCUCCUACAAAGUGCAUGCCUUGGCAAGUAAAGCACUAUAACUGGGGAUUAGUUUUGCCCUGAGCCUAGGCAUGCUUUAGGCGUGCCUGUUACAACUAUUUGUAAAUGAAUAGCAUAAAUAAAUGGCUUAAAGGGUUUUAACAACAAAGAUCAAAAUUCAGUUUGUUUCAUCACUGGACUAUUAGCAGAUAAUGCUUAAUUGCUACUAUGUCGGUUGUAAAAUGAAUUUGAGUGAUUCACAGCCACACCCACAGAUAUAUACACAUAUCAAGAAAUCAUUCUUGUUUGUUAUUCAUAAUUGGUUGUUCUAUUAAACAUGAAGUGUACUUUGGGAACAGAUGCAGAUUGAUAUACAUAUGUAUUGUUAAACUAAUGCAGAUUCUGUUUCUUUCUUCUUUUUUGCCCCUCUUGGGGUGUGGGGGUGGUAUUGGUGUUCAUGUUGGGGGUGAGUGUAGAUUGAAACAAUAUUUGAAGGUCAGGCCUGUGUCGAAAUGCGGGAAUCUUCAUUGAGUUUGACAAAGCGGCUAGCUCAGACGGCCCAAGAGACCUUUGGUGAUUUUGAAGAAGCCGUAGAAAAAGAUGCCACAAAAACUGCUGUUCUUGAUGGAACUGUGCAUCCUUUGACAAGCUAUGUAAUUAAUUACGUGAAGUUUUUAUUUGAGUAAGUCUAUAUAACUGUGCUGUCCAUCUCAUGCUGUUGAUCCUUUCAUAGACAGAAUCUAGUAAAAGUAUAUGUUGCCCUAUUAUUCCUUGAUAUGUUCAUCCACUUCCAAUGAAUUAUUUGUCUUGAUAGAUUUUGGAAAUGUUUCUCUGGUCUGUUGAAUUAUUCCUUAAGGUUUGUUUUUUUAUUUUUUUGGACUUAUUCCUCCUGACUAGUUCGUUCAUGGAUUUGAACAUUCAAAAUCCAUUAGUUUAUGUUUUCAAGUGUUUCAGUACUCACUUUCUGUUUUCUAAUGUCAUGUUAUUGCAUCUAUUCCCCUGUUUGGGUUAAUAUGCUUAUAUAGCUCUAUUGCACUUUCAUUUGGUAAUGUCUUGUUUCCAGAAUAUCUGACUAAUGGAUAUCAAAUGUGCACAGCUAUCAAUCGACAUUAAAGCAACUCUUCCAAGAGUUUGGUGAAGGGGAUGCUGAUGCUCAAUUAGCAUCUGUGACAACACAGAUUAUGCUGGCUCUUCAGAAUAACUUGGAUGGGAAAUCCAAGCAAUAUAAAGAUCCUGCAUUGACUCAAUUAUUUCUUAUGAAUAACAUUCACUACAUUGUCAGAUCAGUGCGAAGGUUUGUUAUAUCUUUUUAGCUUGAUUGUUGAUCUGAAUUUAUGCUGUGUAAAUAGUUUCUCCUUUUUAUUGUUCUCAUCCUUAGGUCAGAAGCAAAGGAUUUGUUGGGGGAUGAUUGGGUGCAAAUACACCGAAGGAUUGUACAGCAGCAUGCAAACCAGUAUAAGAGGGUAUCUUGGGCAAAGGUUUUGUUCUUUGACCAAACUUGAUAUAAAAUGUCCAUGAUUUGUUACUAUUUUUCCAGUGCAAUUUCUUUUUCUUAUUUAGAUGUUGUUUGUUUUUACCCCACAAUUCUACUAGCUUUAUAGAUGUGAUGUGUACCUCUCUAUUCCUGGAAUAUGAUCUUCUGAUCCUGUAUAAAUUUUCUUCUCCAUUGCUCACUUAGAACUGUCAUGAUACUGUUUGUUCUUCACCAAGGGUAAGGUUGACACACACAAAAGAUUCUUCUGUCUUUCCCUUAUUAUCUGGAUUCUGUUGAUGAGUAAGGGAUGACGGACAUGCUGGACACUAUACUGCCACAGACGCAUAAACAUAAGACAUAUUUAUCUUUCAAGUGUCUAUCUUAUGCACAUGGGUUAGUAGGCUUUGUUGAUAGAGCAGCAUGAUAAUUAUUGCGGCCUUCUAUAUGGUCUGGAUUUUUUGAAUUUAGAGCUUGCGUACAUUUAUGUAUGUUAAAUCUUCCCCAAUACUCAUUAUAUCUUUGUAUGCACUUAACUAGUUUCGUAGACAUCUUGAUACUGAUCUUCCUAAAAAUUAAGCUUCGUUGGGGAUUAUAAUUAGUUCUGGAUUGAGAAUCAUUUGGCAAUAUUUGCUGCUUACUCUUAUGGUAUAUAUCUCUAUAAGACAAAUUGCUUAUAGUUGUAGGUUGUUGGAAAUUGUUUGUUUCCAUUGAAUAAAUUGCAAGACUAUAAAUUUUAACCAUUGAUUGGACAGCAAUGUGAUAAAUGUCAUGCUGUAUUACAGUUUGGACAUGAAGCCCUUGUUUUGUUCAUGGUCCCUGAUGUAUCUUGAUAUUCAGCUAUAAAUAAAUACAAGAGGCAAAUAUUUGAGAAAGCCAUUGAAAUGUAGCCUUCUAAGAUUGUGUUGUACAGACCUACAUUAUUGUUUCUGAUUAGCAUCACUUCAAAUAUAUGCUUGAUUUUGUCUCACACUUCUGCUAGGAAAGUUAAGUAUCAAUCACGCUAAGCCACUGAUAUUUCUUGCUCUACAGAUUCUGCAGUGUCUGUCCAUUCAAGGUGCUGCUUCAUCAGGUGGUGGUGGUGCGAUUGCAGAAGCUGGUAGCGGCAGUGGAGUUUCAAGAGCGAUGGUGAAAGACAGGUACAAGACCUUCAACAUCCAGUUUGAGGAGCUUCAUCAAAGGCAAUCUCAAUGGACAGUUCCAGACAGUGAGUUGCGAGAGUCAUUGAGGCUGGCAGUUGCUGAAGUUCUCCUACCUGCCUACAGAUCUUUCAUUAAACGUUUUGGGUAUCUGUUUUCUCACACUCGUGACCUGUUCUUCUAAAAUUCCUGUUGCUUCCUUAUCCCUUGAUUGUUCAAAUGUGGUUUGGGUGUUACAGGCCUAUGAUUGAAAAUGGGAAAAACCCGCAUAAGUACAUCAGAUACACUCCUGAGGAUCUUGAGCACAUGCUGAGUGAAUUCUUUGAGGGGAAGACCCUGAAUGAACUAAAGCGGUAAAUAUACUCAAGAAGCUCUCAGUCCAUGUGAUGGCUAACACUGUUUUAUUCUUUGUACUAUGAUGCGAUCAAAUAAAAGCUGGGGUAGCCUUCCUUUCCCACUGAACGCUUUUAUUAGUGUUCUGAAGUUCUGUUGUUAUUUAACUUAUUCUUAUUUUUAAACUGCUGAAGUAUAUUUUCUGACUAGGUAACUUGAAGUAUGACUUAGCUAUAUGGGUUUAUUCUGGUAGAUUUCUUUGGGCAGAAUUUGGGUAUAUCCAAACUUAAGGCAUACCCCAUCCUGCUAAAAAUUUGUUAAGAUUUGGAAAUAGGGUAGAAAAGAAAAAAAAUAAAAUAAAAAAUAUAUAUAAAUAUAUAUAUAUAUAUAUGGGAGAAAAGUCAUGUUUUUGUUUGAUUAUGGAUAAAAAUGGGAUGUAAAAAUUGAUGAAAAUUUGAUGCAUUUUGUAACUCUUCAUUUUGUUCUUGGAAAGUGAGAGAAUUUAGGAGAUGAGUAUCGGAAAUUUUAGCAAAUUCAAAUAUAGAAUUUAUUUUCUAUCUUGUUAAUUUUGCAUUUAUAUUCUUUUUUUACUGAACCUCCUUUAUCUUUUCUCUUACAUAUACUAAAAAUAAAUACAGUGGAGAAGGAAAAAAGAAUUAAGUAAAUAAGAUACGAGUUCAAGAACCAAAAAGCCAUCUUUUUCCAUUACAUCUCACCAUUCAAAAAAGAAAAAGUAGAAUUUUGGGAACCUAAUUUCUUUUUUGGAAUAUUAAGCAAAGCAAAAUGGCAAUGAAAAGAGGUUUAUGUUUUAUAUUCUGUCUUUCCUAACCCUGAGUACAUAUGUUGGUGUGUGUAAAUUUGUGGCCUCUAGAUGCAAUAUAGUGUGCCUUGUAUGAAAAAUAUAAAUGUUAGCCCAAGGGGUUCUCCUAAUCAAGUUUUGAUGAUAACAAAACAGGUCUAAAGUUACUAAGGGUUAAAUCAAGUUAAUUGCUUCAAGUUUUCUUGAAAAAUUAAAGAAAGUUCAAACAACUCAAAUAGAAGAUUCUUGUUAAUGGAAAUUUGAGCUUAUUGAAGACUUAAGAAGGCCUAGGAACAAUUGUAAGGUUGUAUUUAAAGAUGAUGUGGAAUUUAAAUGAUUUAAUCUUGUUUUCUAUAUCAUCUGAAUCAAAAUUUCAUCUUCUAGUUAAACUUUUUGAAGAAAGGAGUCAUCACUUGAACAUUUUUUUAUUUGGUAGUUAUAACUUGAACUGUUACUAACAAAUUGAAAGGACUCACAAUAUAUUUUAAAUUUUGAAAAUGACCAUGUUCAUGUUACAACUUGCAGUAUAAACAAUUUGCAAAGCUUAAAAGAUGAAGUAGAUUAAUUCAAUUUUUUUUAGGUGAUCGUGAAUGCUUCCUAAUUAAAUUUCCUUCUUGUAAACCAUUUUAAUUAUGCUUCCAGGUGCAAAUAAAAUAUCCUCUGCUGCUCAUAACAGGUUCUUAUAGUCAUGAUUCAAUAAAUGUUUGUAGAGACCUAGUUCCUUUUGAGGAAGUGGAUUGCAACAUGGCCAGUGAUGUAAGAGUAACUGGUGUUAGAACUGAUGUUGAGGCAAACUGUUCCUGUUAUGCACAUGGUGCCAAAAAGAGAGUUUGGGAGCCUCAUUGUCUUCACUGAGGUCCAAAGAAGUGAAGGAAAGCCAUCAAAUUGGCUGCCAGUUAGAUUCCAACUGGGAUAUUGUUUCGGGAAAUGGUAAAAUAGAUAAUGCAUGCUUUGCUGGAUGCUCCUUGGGAGCUACUAGAAAUGAAUCUUUGGCUGAAUUUUCCCUAGGGAUAUUCUGGCCAGGAGCUAUGUAGAGAAGAAUGUUGAAGAUCGUAGGCCACUAUCAAAAGAGCAGCUCGGUGCACUUGAGUCAUUAAAAUUUUUAAUGCACUUAAGCUUUUAAAAAUCAUCCUUUCUUGAACUUAAAUCAAUCACAUCUUCAUCAGGUCAGAUGAUUUCAUGUUUUUUUAUCAAACCCUGAUUUUAAUUCUUUCAAAAUAUGCAUUAAAGGGUUUAUAUGGUGUGUAAGAUUCUUUCCCAGAGGUUUCUGACCUCGGUCUAGCCUUUUUUCUUUAGUUAUAGUGUAACUGGUCAAGACAGGGAGGAAUUGGUUGAGCCAAAAAGGCUCGAUCAGUCAAGGUGCACAAAAUGCAUCUCUAACUUCUAGUAGCAUUUUUUAACUGGUUACGGUAGGAGGCUCAACCAGUUGCUCAAUCGGUUGAGGUCUAGAACCCCAACAGUCACCUGCAAGUACAUUUAAUGUACAAUUGCCAAUGAACUAGUCAAACCGAUUGCUUGACCAAUCAAGCCUAAGUUAUGGGUUCUUGGGUUUCAGAGCUACUCACCUAUAUAUUGAGUCUUUUAAGAGCAUUUAUGAACAAGAGAUUUUGAAAUUGGGAUAAUUUCCAAAUGGAUUUUGAAAUCAUAACUUGAAUUUCCAAAUCAUUUCGAAAUGGUCCUUCAGCCUUGUGCAGUUGUCUUCAAAUGACCCUAACUUCUUCAUUUUAGCUCCGAUUUAUGCACCGUUUGAAGCAUUGGACUCUUGACUUCCCGAGCUUUGAAACAAUCUAUAGCUUGCCCAAAAUUGACCUUGGGAAGUGCUUCAGAUUUUACCUUAAAGUCAGAGUAUGUGUUGCUGCCAGAUUUUGAAUUCUAAAUUUCCAUGUCAACUUGAUUGCAUUUGUUUCAAACCUCCUCCAUUAUAGUUGCUUGCCCUUUAUCUCACUCCAUAACAUCCGUUGCUAGUAUUUUAUGUCUAUGAGUCACUCAUCACGCCCUUGCUUGGACUCGUCAUGGUUCACAAGUCCUGAAUCUCUUCUUUAUGCAUGUUUUACCACUUCUACUUCCUUGGAUGAUAAUGAAUUUUAUACUCAUCACAUUUUUCAUCCCUUAAACCUGAAUUAGGCUCAAAAUAGAAGUUAGAUCCAUAACUAGGGUCUUAGCAUCAAUUUGAUUUAAGUUGGAUGAUUUGAGUUUUUUUAUAUUCCAUAAAUCAUGUCAUAUAUGUGCUAUUGGAGCACAUAUUUUGGCUCUAAUCAGGUCUCAAGUUGUCUCCUCGAGCUUGGUUUGAUUGUUUUACCAAAGCCGUAAAGAGGUUUGGCCAUUCUCAGUGUCAAUUUAACCAUACUCUAUUUGUAAAACACACACCUGAGGGAAGAACUGUCGUUAUCAUCGUUUAUGUGGAUGACAUAAUUCUGACCAGAAACCAUAGGGAAGAAAUAGGCAAACUCAAGAGUUUUCUUACCUAUGAAUUCAAAAUUAAAGACUUGAAGAGUCUUAAAUAUUUUCUUGGGAUGGAAAUUGCUAGAUAAAAAUAAGUAUUGUAGUCUCCCAACAUAAGUAUGUUCUAGACUUGCUAAAGGAGACUAGGAUGCUUGGUUGUAAACCUACAAACACAUCUAUGGACCACACUAUUAAACUAGGAAUUAUUGAAGGAAGUUCUCUAGUGGAUAAAGGGAGAUAUCAAAGAUUUGUGGGGAAACUCAUCUCUCUCUCACACACAAAACCAAAUGUUGCUUUUUUUAGUCAACGUGGAUAGUCAAUUCUUGAACAAUCCAAUUGAGGAAUAUAUGAAAGUUGUGUAUCGUAUUCUAAAAUAUCUCAAAAUGACUCUAGGAAAGGGACUUUAUUUCAAAAGAGCACAAAAAAGAAACAUUGAAUUUUUUUCAAAUGUAGACUAGGAUGGUUCCGUAACCGAUUGAAGAUCAAUCUCAGGAUAUUGCACCUAUGUAUGGAGGAAUUUGGUUACUUGGCGAAGCAAGAAAUAGUCUAUUGUAGCUCGAAGUAACGCAAAAGUAGAAUUUAGAGCUAUGACACAUGGAAUUUGUAGAGGAAUGUGGUUAAAGAGACUCUUAAACAAGCUGAAAAUUUUAGUAGAAGAUUCUGUAAAGAUGUUCUGUGACAAUCAAGUUGUCAUAAUUAUUGCUAAGAACCUGGUUUAUCAUUAUUAGAAGAAGCAUGUAGAAAUAGACCGUCAUUUUAUAGGGAGAAGCUAGAAGAAGGGAGAAUUUAAUUGGUUUACACUCCAAUAGCUCUCUACAUACCAGACAUCCUUACCAAGGCACUUUCUAGAACCAACUUUGAAGAUUUGAGAUUCAAGUUAGGAAUAAUCAACAUUUACAAUCUAGUUUGAGGGGAUGUGUGGAAAUUUAGAAUUUACAGCUGGGUUAACAACCAUGUUAUAGCUACAACUAUGUUACAAUUAUAUUAUAGUUGUGUGAUAGCUAGGGAUUCAAAUGUUGUUUUUUGUUUCAGCGAUAUUUUGUCGAUAUAUCGUGUAUGAGUGUAGCUUGACAUGAUAACGGGCAUGGAUAUCUCGACUGAGAGAGAGAUCAUUUUUUCUUGCCAUUUAUUGAGGGUUUUUUUGGCAAAGUUCCAGAUUUGCACCAAUAUUUCAGAUAUAUCAACAAUUUUCAGCCACGUUAGCAUGUUGUGUCAGCGAUAUUUUUCAGCUUUUACUUAAAAUUUUUGAAAUAUGGGCCUGAAGUAAGAGACACCCAUUUUUUUUGUGACAACUGAUGGAGCCUAAUUUUACAUGUGAUGAUACUUGGGGCACCAACACUUCAAAUAUGGGAAUGUUUUCUCUUCACUUUCAUGCAAGUUAGGGAAUUGAUCUUGAGACCUUAAGAAUGAAAAGGUUUGUCCUUGCCACCAAACUAACUAUACUUUGCUUAUACAAGCACAUAUUAAAAUAUAUAUAUAUAUAUAUAUAUAUAAAUUACUUAAAAUAAAAAAAAAUGAGUUAAUUUUAAUUAUGUCUUUUAUAUAAUAAUUAGGUAUAAGAUAAAUAUAAACUUAUAAAUAAAAUUAUCAAUAUUUUUAAAUAAAAAAUACUAACAUAUCAUCAUUUCUUUUAUAUCAUUUGAAUAUCCAAACUAAAUAUAUUAUCAUUUUAGUUUUUAUGUAUUAUCAAAUUCAAUAUAUUAUUGUCAAAUAUUAUAAUUUGUUUUAUCGAUAUUUUUAUAUUAAAGUUUCCAUCAAUAUUUCCUUAUAUAUCCCGAUAUAUCCAUAAAAUCUAACUACUGAUAUAUCCAUGAACACCGAUAUUUUCAUCCUUGGUGAUAGUUGUGUUAUAGUUGUGACACAACUGUGUUGUUGUAUUUCUAAUUUUAACUUACUCCCUUAUUUUAUUUUGUGAGAGAUUUUUUCUCCUAAAAUAAAAAAUUAGAUUUCUUUUCUAAGGCAGAUGACCUCAAUCGUUUGUGCAUAAAUAUUGGUACUAUAAUCAAUUUGCAAUAUAGAGAAAAAGUAUUUUUUUCCCUCAAAUUUCUUUAGUUUUUAUAGAUUUCUUGUUACAAGUUUAGACUGUUAUGAUAGUUUUAAAUGUGUGGAUGGUUUUCUUUUCCUUCCAUAGAAUAUGGUAUAUGAAAUGCGCAAGUUUUCUAUCUACUUUUGGUAUAAUUUGUUUAUAUGGAUAUGGAUUAACCAUGUAGUACCACCUACACUAUUUCAUCAGUACUAGUGGAAUAUGGUAUUGACUCAUAGCUGCCAUCAACAAUUCAUUCCACUAGCCAAAUCACCCAUAUUGUGCCAUCAAUCACAGGUUCCUCAAGCAUGUUGAAGUGUCUAUUAUAUGUCUUAUAGCAUACUGUCAGAAAUGUAAUUAUAAUAGGAAAUUAUUUUGUUGAGUGUUUUUUCUAUUAGUUUUUCUUUUUUUUUUAGUUAAAUUUUUGUUUCCAUUGGGACUUGAACCUGGUAGCUCCCACAAACCCUCCCCAACCCUUUACCACUUGAUUCCAGCCCCAAGGGUGAGUGUUUUCUCUAUUAGUUAUUACACUGUCGAGGACAUUUGACUUAAGAUACCAUCUUGUAAUGUAAACCCAUCUUAAGUCCUCUUCUAGUUCUUCCUAAUACAUUGAGAAAUUCCUUUUUCCACUAGAUGCAGGUUUUUGAAUUCUGCAUGAAUAAUGAUUGGUACCAUAUUAUGUUAGGCGAUUGGUACCAUAUUUGACCUUAGAAUCCCUCCUCCCCAUCUACCUGCAUGAUUUAAGGAUUAGAGAGUGCAACUGUGACAGUUUUGUGCUUUCAGUGGAGAUGCUAUUAAUGAAGUUGGUCCGCACUAGUAAUAGGAUGACCAAUAAAUGCAUUUUGGGGUGAGGUCAAAUUGAAAACUGAAAACAAAUCCAUCUCUGGCAGCUGUCUUGCCUUACUUUUGCCAAAAAAAGCACCCAUUUCCAUGCUGAAGCACCAGCUACUACUGUAGAGGGCCUCUAAUCUCCAUACACUAUGUGAGCAACUUAUAAUCAUUGUUUCUGUUUCUGUUUCAUUGUAAAUAAAUUCCUAAAAUGAUAUGGCAAUAAUUUUGUUUGUGAGUCAUAUUCUAGGCAAUGAAGAUCACAUGAAUGAAAUGAAGUUAUUACAAAGUUAGAAAACAGUGGUAAAGAUAAGGUUAUCUCAUGUUAUAAUAUAUGUGCACACAAAUGCAUUUUAAUGAAAAAGUGACAUAUCUGAUAAAAGAAAAAGGAAAUCUUUUCCCGUUGCCCCUUCAUCCAUAGUCCUUUUCUUGGCAAAUAGCAAUGCACUCAGACCAAGCAUAACUGAGUCAUAUCUUAAGUUACCUAUAUAUGUAGAUGCAUACACAUUCUAUUUUCUUUGGAGAUGUUUUGAAUCUCCAGAUCACUGAAACUCUCUCUUGCUUUUGGUUGGUGCUCUGAGCACCUUGUUGCUGCCAACUCAACAAACACUAAAAAGAUGACAAGAUGAUUUUGAUGGUUAUUUACUAAGCUUGCAGUAAGAUAAGGACUUUUCUUUUUAUUACCUUUCCUUCCUAUUUGGUCUGUGAUUGACAAGGAAAUAAAGAUAGUUCUUGAUUAUAAUCAGGAGUGUCUUUUUCCUUCUUCAAUCUCAGACUACACUUUAUUCUUCAUUUCUAUUUGCCUCUUUUUGACCUAAGAAUCUCUCUCUCUCUCUCUCUCUCUCUUUCUCUCUCUAGUGUGUUUUUUGAUUUCUAAUGAAUAUCACACUCUGAGGAGAAUGUCUUGAAGCUGAAUGCCUCAAGUAAAAGGGAUGAUUCAAAAUAGACAAUUACUACUUGAAAAGGCUCUCAUAAGAAAAAAUGCAUAUCAGAAGCAACAUCAAGGACACUGCACUUAUAAAUGCUUUACAAUAAUAUUAGCUGGGGAAGAAGUGGCAUCGGCAAAGUGGAAAGCAAACAAUUUCUGCCUGAUUUUGGAUGCAGAAAAUUUGGUUAUUUUUUAGAAUUACUAGAGAUGGUGUCAUUGACAAUUGAGGGAAAGGAAACAUUGGAGAGAGCAGCUUUACCUAGAUGCUUUAACUGCUAGCAAAACCAAAUACUCAACCAUAUGAUGUUGCUCAGGUGAAUGCUGAUCUGAAACUCAAUAUGACCUGAUAAUUCUUAGUUCCGUCUUAUCUAUUGUCCUGUAUUUUUUUUUUCUUUUUAUAAUGCAAAUUGAAUAUUCUUUGUUGACUGAUAAUUUGAUAGAUGUCUGACAUGUCAUGAGAAAACACCUGCUGAGAGAUCAAGCAGGAGAACAGAGAGGAUCCAUGCUGUGCUUUGACCUCAAGAACCAAAGGAGUUUAGUAGUUGGAGUUAUUGAAGAAACCAAAAAAAAAAAUUAUGGUGAGAACAUGGAAGAAAAGCAUAAGUUGCAUGAUUCUAGGUUUCAUUGACAGGACAUGAUUAUUAAAUUGGAGAAAGAAUUAGAGGCUAAGUUAUUUACACUAGACAUAUAGCACAAAUGGUUAAGUUUUCUUAAUCUGUAAAAAAGUGAUAAUAUCCUUAUAAAUGUCUCACAUUUGAUCUCAUGUUUAACUAGUAAAUUUCAAGAAAUUAGUUAUAAAUCUUCCAUUGAGAUGCAAUUAUAUUGAUAACAUUUUGCCUUUAUAUUUGGUUUGCUGUAGAAUUACUUUUUAUAUCAGAAGUUGGUGGAAAAAUGAUAUUUCUCUUUCUGGGAUAAGGACAUGGUAACAUUCUCCCAACUUCUGCCUUAGAUCCUUUGGCUGCUUCUGUGUUUAAUUGAUGUUAUGAAUGAUGUAAUUGGGGAGGGUAAAGUAAAUUGGAUUGUAACAAUAAUGACACAACUUUGGCGCUCUCUCUCACACACAGAUGCUCGGUUGCUCACUCACUCAUAUGUGCAUGCUCACAUGCACCGAUAGGUUUUUAAAUGUUUAAUGCUAUUAUAUUUGACUAGUUUGUUUAAGAAUUUAAUUUUACUAAUAAUUGUCUCUCACGUGCUUGUCCAAUAUUUAUAUGUAUAUAUCUGUAUCUCAGGCACACAUAAUUAGGUUGAUUAAAGGUUUGUUGCUACUAUAUUUGCUUUGAGGUAGGUUUUCUUGGCCUUCAUCUUUGUCCCUUAGCACCUUGAACUUGAAUCAAAUCACUCCUCCCACUCUAAUUCAUUUUUUUCCAUUGCAGCCCACAUUCAAAAUACCAAAGCCUUGCAAAUUGAAGGUGAUAGACCCAGGUAAAUCUUUGCACUGAUUCUGUUUCUCAUUAAUAGUGAAUCUCUGUCAUCCAUCACUACUCAAAGAGGUUCAUAUGUUUUUGCUUUUUCUUCAAGUUUCAUAUUGUUAUAGGGUUUUAUUUGUUCAACUUAGUCAAAAAUUUCACUUGCUUAUUCUGUUAGAUUCUUACAUCAAUGGAAAUUUCUGGGUGAAAGCAUACUUCGCCUGCUCAGCUUGCCACUUGGGGCAGCCACUUCACUCACAGAUUAGCAUUUCAGGUUAACAAGUUGAUAGCUGUGUUCCAAUCAUGGUUAUUGAUUUUGAACUACUUCAAGCAGGUUAGCUUUCACUAGUAAACCUUAUUUGCUAGAGCCAAUGGUAUCAUAAUAUGUUAGAUUGCAAAUUGUAAGCUUUGGUGAAGGUGUCUUCAAUGCUGGAUGGCUUCUUUGUGUGCAGAGACCAAUACAGGUCUGAGUUCGCCAGUAACUCUCAUUUGAAAGCAAUCGGGGCUAUGGCAUCAUCAUAGCCCUCUCCUCGAUUAAUGGCCAUACUAAAUUGCUUAACAUAGUCUUGUACACUUUCCCUUUCAUUCAUUUGGAUAUUAAGGAGGGAAGAAUCCAUGUCUCUUCUUUGCCGAAAAGAACACAUAUGUUGAGCCACAAUUGUUGUGCACAAUUUUUAAGAAAGAAGAAAUAGACCCGCUCGAGAGAUUAUGGAACUAAAUGAGGGGUGGGCUUUGCAGACUUGUUGGGAAUGCGUUGCAAAGCCCUGCAUCAGGAUGAUGAGCUGACAAAAAUGCAUUAAAUGGUCAACCAGGUCUCCCAUGCCAUAAUAUGGAUGUAAUUUUGGAAACACAAACCUGGUUGGGAUUCUUGCAUUAGUGAACAAGCUGUUGACUAAGCCCCGAAUGAUUUGACUCACAAAUUGUUGUCUUCUUCCUAUUCAUAGCAUCCUUUGAAAAUCAUCCAACUGCUCUUCAAUAGUGCCUUUUUCCUUGAAGGUAUGAAUAGCCUCAUUCCUUACCAACUUAUCUUCUUCCAAGGUUGGGGGUGACUCUUCUCGGUGAGAUUGAUUUGUCUCAUGCAAAACGAUAGUGUCAAGGGAGAAGUAGAACGAUAGGAGUGUAACAAUGCUUGAAGCUCUUAAUUGUCCCUAGCCAAAGUAUCCUCUAUUUGAGAUAGAGAUUGCAUUCUUUGCUCAAGCCGGAGUUGUUGUUGCUCUGGCCAUAACUGUAGUCGACAAAGAGGCUCUUCCCCUGAAGGGCCCUUUCCAUUGUAGUGUAGGGAUGCAACUUGGCUAACCCGACCAACUUGAGGUUUGAGUUGGCAUGGGUAAUAUGUGAAGGGUUUGAGUUAGAAAAAUACCCAAAUCGACGAUAUCAAGACGGGUGAAACCUGAACCCAUGUUUUAUUUAAAAUAUGAAAAAUAUAUAUAAAAAAAGGAUGAUAGAACUUUAUCCUUUACCUUUUACAAUUGUAGGAUACUAAUAAGUUUAUCAUUUUUGUUUAAUUAUUUAAAUAUUUUUAACUUGAGUUUAGAGUUAUUAUUUAUGUUAAAUUAGCAAUUAAUAAAUAUAUUUGAUUGCUUUAAGACAUCUUUGGCAUUUAUGGUUGAUAUUUUAUAACUUUGAAAUAAAUAUUUUAUUUAGCAAGAAACUCUAUUAUAGGUCUUUUAGUUGACAAUAUGUAUGAGAACUUUUAGAAAUUUGAGUUGUCUGUGGGCUUAGCAUGGGUUGAGAAUUCCUGAAAACUAUUUCCAAAUCUCCAACAUUUUCAAAAAAUUUAAUUGAAAGUUGUCUUACAAUUCCAAUUGAAUUUUAAAGUUGUUUUUUUCCAAAACAUUUUUCCAUAUUUAUAUUGAAAUUUUGUCUUCAAUGGACAACUUUUAAUUGAUGUUAUUUCAAUUGAUAUUAUAAAAAAUAAGGUGGUAGAUUUAGAAAUAAUUUUUAAAAUAUCAAAUUUUAAUAAAUAUUUUUUUUUUCAAAAAUCUGAUAAACAAUCUCAGCACAUGAUAACCUUCCAAUCCAUCCUACUUAAGUGCUAUGGGUGUUGUGGUUGGGAUGUCACUGAAAUAACCUCCGUCCUCUCUCAUUUUUGCGGCCGGUGGUUAUUCUCAUUGACGGUGCCAAGACAUUGAGUAUUUUCUCUUCUUUCUGCUCGAUUUUAUAGAUAUUUUGGGAACAAGUUACCAAGUGGUAAUAUUAUGGGUAAUGGAGUGAGAGUGGUAGGAUCAACCACAGUCAGCUGGAUGCCCAUAUCUUUGACAGAUGGUAUUCCUCAACUAUGUCGGGUUCCUAGCUUUGUACCCCUUCUAUCUAGUACCUACAUAAAUUCUAAUUUUUUACAAUUUUUAUUGAGUUCUAAUAUUAGUCAAUUUUUAAAGACAACUGAUGUAAAAAUAUUUUUACCAAGUUUAAGCAACUGAUUAGAGGUAUUUUUUGUAAUUUAUUUUGAAAGGCUAAUCAUUUUUAAAAAUAAUUUAUAAAUAUAAAUAUAUUAUAUAACCAUCCUUUUAUGUAAAAAUUUUUUUUUUUUUUUUUUAAAGUAUCUGUUCUAUUUCUAUUCUUUUAAGACCUUUACUUCUCAAUGAAAGUCCACUGGACUGUUAGUAUUUUAAUGAAAUUGUUGCAGCUCUUUGUUUCCUGGAUUGAAGAAUGCUAUUAAUUGUCCAGGUUUUGGUCUUUAUAUAUAUUUUUUCCCUUAUGUGUUGGUUGAAUUUUAGGUAUAUAAUGUGCAUGUUUGCAUAUUUUCAUAAUUGUCAGAAUAAUUCUAUAAUUUCUUGUUCACAUGGAGUCUAUCUAUACCAUUUUCAUUAUACCAGAAAAUUUCUAAGUUGCCCUCGUAGUUGGUAUAUAAUUUACAUCUCUUUUUAUAAUCAAAAUUUAGUAGCUCUCAAAAAAGUUAUAUUUAUUGGCUUAUCUUCAACUUAUGUUUUUUAUUUUCUUUUUUGGUUAGGUUUUUCCAUAUUCUCAUGUGUUAUUUCUUCUACUUUACCUAGUAAAGGUGAAGGCACCUUGAGCACUAGGAGAUGGGUGCUUUUACCACUCAUUAGUCAUUUCCAUAUUAAAUAUAACAAUAACCUGAUGCAUGUGGUUCUGAAUCAGAUGUUUAUGUAAUGAUUAGCAAAGCAAACACAUUAGACUCUAAUCAUUGCUACCUGUGAGUCUAUUUGUUCAAAUAAUUACGAAUAGGAAGCUUAAGCCUCACAAGACACAGUCCUAUUGCUUCACUAGAUGAGAAAACCUUCCUUGCUAUAUGCAAGCCAGUAUUGGAGUGGCUAUUUGUCUACUAACCAGAUUCUUCAAGACCUCGAAUUCUAAGAUUAUAGGUUUGGCUAAUAAAAAGAGUCUGCCUUUGGAUAUGUCAUUCAUUAAUUGACAGAAGUAAGCCUUCCAUACAAGGAAAUAUAUGUGUGCGCCUAUAUAUUUAGAGAUAUAUAUUACAGUUGCAAUAAAUCUUAGGCAUAUUGAGAACUUUUUAACUAGUGUUGAAUUUUUGAUGUGGUUACUUUUGUUCCAGAUUAACAAUAAGAAAAUCUGUGCUUUAUGAUGCUGGUACUCUUGUUGGUAUGUAUUUCCAAGAGUCAAACCUGUGACUUCCAAAUCUUAUGAGAAGUACAUGUUAAAUUAUCAAAGUUCAGCUAUUUUUUCUUCUUUUAUAUAUCUUGGGGACAAAAGGAAGUGUUUGUGCAACGUAGUGUGCCUUCCUGGAAAAUUUGCUCGUUUUAAAAUAUCAUUGAUAGUAUGGUUAUAUCAAGAAACUAUCUUUUCAACUUAUAGCAAAUAAGAGACAUGAAUCUUUUUCUUUUAUUUGUUACACCUAUGAUCCAAUCUUACAUGGAACAUAAAUCACUAGCAUAUCAGACAAUGGAGCAUAGAUUGUUAUGAUAUGGGGAAUGGAAAUGAGUACACAAAACAGUAUAUAAACUGGAACGUGGUAAAUCAGGUUAGGCUUAAAUGGUCCAUCGAUUGGUUAUUAAAAAUUAGAUUGUUGUAAGAUAAAUGCAAUAAUACCUUUUUUUUCCCAUUUCUAUAGAAGGGGCUAUAUGUUGGUAGUUCUCUCUCCUUUUUGGCAACUUUUUAUUUUUUCCUUUAAAAUGGAUUGACCAUGUAAUGCCACAAAACUACUUAUUUCAUAUUUCUGUUAUUCUUUUGGUAUGUUAUAACUGUUGAUCCAGUUUGCUUUAAAGACUUGUAUCCUCUUGCAUUUUGUUAACUAUUUGUAAUCUUGUUUUGUAAAAUUCAAUGAUAUAUUAAGGUUUAGUUUUUGACCUCUUCAAGCUUGUUUUCUAAUUGUUCAUUUUUCUUAGCUCUUUUUUGAAACCUUAAGCCCGCUUCCUUGUUUUUCAGCUAGUUUCAUUUGGAAAUCUACAUCCCCACCUAAAGCAAAAGCCUUUUGUAUGGUCAGUGGCAAAUAAGCAACACCAACAAGAAGCUAUAGGUGAGCAGGCCUUAUAAAGGUUUUUGUUUAAAUUGUGUUUAUGUGCUUGUGGCAUGGUGAAUCAGUUGGUUAUAACUUUCUUCACUGCCUAUUUGCUUUAGGGAUUUGUUAUAAGUUGUUUGCAUAGCUGGGAUAGACAGGGUUUCUCAGAAUUUUGACAAAUAGGAUGAUUAUCUCUUUUAAGGAGUUUGGGAGACUCCCUAGAGGUGGAAUUCUUCGGUAAUUGGUGAGCCUCACUUUGAUUUGGAUAAGGUCAAUAAUUUUGUCAAGAAUUCGGUUGAUUUAUUUUCUUCUCUAUGACUUUAUAUUUUUGAAGCUUUGAACAGGUACUCCCUUGAAUCGCAUUUUGCUAUAUUGAAACGAAGCAGUACCAAAAUUUUUAUAGGAGUGAAGUGAGUUGAGCAUGUACAUGUUUGUCCUGUAGAGGGAGUGUAUGUAUGGAGUAAACUUUUAUUCUGAGGAGAUUUUUUCCAUUGAUUUACACGUGUGUGUGUGUGUGUGUUUGCAUUUAAUGGUUUGUUUAGUUGUCUGUUUCACAACAACAGAGAUAGGUUUCAUCUUGAAGAAUGCUUGCUGCAUGUAUUACUGAAAAUUCCAAGUACCCUAUUUCUUGAAUAAAAUUGAAGGAGAUAUUUUUUUGAGGGCUUGAUCAGCAUGGAAACAAGUAUCUUUUACUAGCUUUAUGGUGUGGUUGUGAGCAAUUGAGAUAGGAUCCGACUGAGAUGGUCCAGUUUUAGUCUGGACAAACCAUUUUGCCCCAGGUUUCGCUUUUCAAAAGCCAAGGUUUUGGAAACUGAUGUGCACCUUGUAAAUUCUAAUUAGUAUAUUGAACAACUUUGAUAAGAUUCCCUCUCACAAGCAAAGGGGCCCUACUGUAUUGGACUCCAUCAGGCUGAUUAAGACCCCCAGAAUGGACAUUAAAAGAGACGCUUUCAACUUAUUGGACGUUGAACUUACUUUUUGAUUGCAAAAAUGAAGAGGACCUUGUUCAAAUGCAUCAGUAGAAUGGCCAAGUUGUGGUGUAAAGUCUGUUUGUAGAAUGUGAAAAAUAUUCACCUUUUCCAGUGGUUUUUAAGGACAAGCCUAUGGUAUAUGGUAGAGUUAAAUCUCUUUAAAUAUGGAGGAGGUAGAUUGCCUUGAAAUCAUAUAAUCCCAAUUCAUUCUAUUACGGUAACUUUCGGGCAUUAAAGUUACUUUAAGCGUGGCUGAAUUAAUACCACAUGUCCUGUUAUAGUGUCAAAGAGACGCCUAAGUUUGGUUUGCUUUCAAUUCCAUAAUGCCCUUGAAAGUGACAUUAUAUUGAGACGUCCUAAUGGUCAUUUAAUAUUUUUUAUUUUUCCCCUUUUAGGUUUUUUAUUGUUGAACUUGCUUCCAUAUGAAAUACUGAGACUGAUGUGGAUGUCAUUGUUGUGAGCUCCAUCUAUCUUCCUUGCGUUAUCUGAACUCAGGUUGCUGUUACAAGAUUCCCCUAACAAGGCUUUCUUUAGUUUAGACCAUCUAAUCUCACUAAACAAAGCCUUCAUGUGGUCCAUUCUUGACUUAAAUUUGAAAAUCUUGCUGGCAUGAUGAGAGAUGCAAUAUAUUAUAUAUUAUAUAUUUAUAUUUAUAUUGAUGUAAAGCUUCCUCUGUAUACUUGUGUAUUUGGAUUUCUUAAAAUUCAUUUCUUUGCUUGCCAUGACUUCGUUUUUCUUACCCUCUAUUUGUUUGUUUUCUGCCCUGGAGAAUUUCCCAUCAUCCAAACAGUCUUUUCUCCCUCUGAUUUUUUUUUUUUUUUUAAAAUCUCUUCUCCCCACGCUUUAUUCCUUCUACUUUAUAGAGUUUUGUCCCUUGCACUAGCACUGCUCAUGGAAUUUGGAAAGUGAGCUUGAUACAAAAACUGAGCGCCUUUCCUGUAAUCCAGCAAUGUGGGCAUCAUCUGUGCGAUGGGAGUGCACACCACGCGCAGACCUUGAAAAAAAGAGGAUAUAACUGCUCUGAAAAUUAUGCGGAUGUUAGAGGUUCAAAGAAGAUCUUGUAGGGACUUCUUAUCAGUACAACGUGGUAAGACUCGAGUCUGUGAAAGCCAAGCUUUUGGGAUCCCCCUCCUAGGUAUAUACACCCACCACACGUCUCUGCCCACCGAUAAUCCUUAGCUUCUACACGCUGGUUAGCCAACCUUUCUCCCUCUGUUCUGUCGGAAUCGGUUCAGAAUUUGGCGGGGGUUCUCUGCACCUGCCAUGUGUCUCACUACUCCCCAAAACCUAAUCAUUUUUCACUCGAGGGCAUUGUGGUAAAGAAUGACUUCGGGGUUUUGACUAGUCAUACGAGCAUUGAAUUCUCAUUUUUAUCUAUUUAUUUAUUUUUUAUAUGCUCCCAUUUGUCCUGUAACUAUUCACUUCCAAUAGUUUCAUUGGCCGUGACAAUAACAAUUGAUUUUUAACCAAUUGAUGGAGAAAACUAAUCAUACGCUUAAAAUAGACUCUAUACAAUUCAACAGUUGGAGUGCGACAUGCAUAACUAAAUGGGCACUGCCUUUUUAAAAGGUCCCCCACCAUCUAAAACAAUAUGACAAUGUCCAUGGACCAAAGUGUGUGAUCAAUUUGGUGGUCUUGCCUUGGAAUAUUUUAGGUUGAGCCGGUUUGUUUUCUCCUAAAUUUUAUUUCAGUUUAGUCUUGCAAUCUCGACCACUCUUAAUAUCCAAUUCCCAAGUUGUAUAGACAGCCAUUACAAACGAUAAGGACCAGGUGGCUCCCACCUAAAUUAUUCACAAGCUGUUUGCCCCAUUUCUCUUGUCAUAUUGUGCCACAGAGAGAUGUUAAAUUUAUUGAUUUCAGAUUACUCAAUCAUCAUGAUUUAAUUGUUGGCGGUUCCCAAAAUGUCAUCCAAACAUGAUGGAUUAGUAGAACAAAAAUAAUAAUAAUAAAAAAUCAAAAGUAGACUCCCCCCGAUUAGCAAAGUAAACGAUGGUCAUCGGUUGCAUCCAUUUUAUUUGUGGGAGGUGCAAAUUGUGUUACGAAAGUGGGGGUGAAGGAGAAUAUGAUGAGAAGGAAAGUAGGUGGAACAUCGCUUUUAAUAAUUGAGAUUGAGAAAGAGAAGAGGAUGAGGGGAUGAGACAAGGGCCUUUCUAUUAUUUUAUUUCACUGUUAUUAUGGUCGCACUCUCUUUGAUCAUCUCCUUGUCACGAAUUUGAAAUUUCUUCCAUCUCCCUUCCUUUUCACUCUUUAUCAUGUUAGGAACUUAGGGCUUAGGACUUUAGUUUCCACCGCCCACUACAACCUCCUCUCAAAUCUUCCGACACCAACUCUUCAGUUACCCAUCUAGAAACUAUCUUCUAAUGAGACCUACUUAGUCUUUCUCCUACUGUCAAUUAAAAUCGAAGAUAAAUUAUUUGUUUAUGAGAUAAAGUGUGCCUUACGAAACUUCCAACCAAUUUCAUACCAACCACUGUUAGGCCACUUGAUAUGGGUCCCAAGUGACUCGCGGUCAACACACUCUUCUUUGAAAUGAACCUCUUUUGCCCAAUUUUGACUAGUCAAAUUCACAUUCAAUCUACCACGGUACCACCUAAUAAAUUGAAAUUAAUUAUCCUCUGCUUUUUAUUUUUAUUUUUGUUUCAUUACAAAAGAAAUUUUUUUUGGCCCUUGUGCAUAUUGGAGGCGAUACAGCCCAUGUCGCUGGAGUAUUUAUUCAGUUGAUGCAAGUAUUCUGACUUAUUGAAUAACUUUUACUCUUAAAUAUUAAUGCUCACUUACCCUGUUAGAAGAAAACGAUCAUCUUGAGACUGACAAGAAAGCGAGAGGAUUCAAAAUUUCAGCCUGUUUAUGCUGUGGCAAUCAUUCGACUUUGCUGAAAAUGAUUUCUUCUGCCUAAUUUUUUGUUAUUAGUAUGUGGAAUGAAUGAGUGGAGAGCAAGAAAAAUUUUGCGCCUUCGUGUACGUGUACUGCGUUCGGAAUUGAUCAUAGGUGAGGCCUAUGAAUGUAUCAUUCUAGAUGGAAAUUAAGUACAAGUACAAAUUAAGAGAAAAGUGGAAACAAAAAGAGUGGAGAAAUGCUCAAGGCCACUUAAUUAAAUAAGCCCACAAUUAAGAAAAUGCAAUUGUACUUGUGACCCAUAUGCCCUGAAAAUAUGUGACCCAUAUGCCCCUUCAUUCUCUCUCUUAUAGGCUGUAUAUCAAGUUCGGUUAACUUUUGGAUGCUACUGCGUGUAUAUUCUAGAACAUCAAAAUGGUCGGCUGGGUGAGCUGGGAUCCUCCGGGUGAUGAUAAAGUGGGGUCCAGUCAUGGCCGCGACGUGUUUUGAUCUAACCUAUUCAAUCUGACAUCCGACGGUCAUCAAGCUACAUGCGCUUUGAACCACUUUAUUCAGCAUCAUAUAAAGGUAAGCCCGUCAUAACAAAAUAACACCUUUAGGAAAGUCAGGAUGCCUUUAUUUCUUAGGCACUUGAAAAGUCAUAGGCCUUUUUCAUCCAUUGAAGUUUGCUCAUUCAUUCAUGAUUUAUAUAUAUAUAUAGAUUUUUGUGUGUCGUAGGACCUUUAUUUAACCAGAAAGUUCCCACUGAUAAAAGGGAAGGUGAAGGUGCUCUCAACCUCGGUCAUAUUAUUUGAUUUAAAUUAUUGGCCUCGCCAGAGAUUGUUAAAUUAUGGAUUUUUCCUUUAUAGCAUAGCACCUAUCAAUUUUUAUUUCCAAAUCUCACCCUCAGUGCGAAGCCAUGAAAUGUCUUCUCUAUUCUUUUUUAAUAUAAAGGUGAAUCCAAUCAUAAAGCAGAAGGGAGAAAGUUGUGGACAUAUUCAGAAUCUGUCCAGCAUACCCAGCCAUAGACGCAGGCUUCCAAUGUGUUGUACAUAUAUGUUGAUAUACAGGGCUUCUCUUCGUCUCGAUCACCUCCCUUGCUUAAAUUUUAGCUUCUCCAAUUUUUUUAUUUUUUCUAAAUUAUUUGACCCCAUAUUGACAUGGAACAGUCAAUUUGUAACAAGUGGCAAAGUCGGGAAUCUCGAGGUAGAGUUUGGUUUUCACCCUGAAAACGCGGAAGGUUUGAUGGAGUUCCUUUAUUUCAUGUGUGACAAAUCCCCAUACAUAGCCCACAUGUUCACUCUGAUCUUAUGCUAUUAUAUUUCCGAAGGCGGUCCCGAAUUGAAAAGACUCCUUCAUCUACCAAAUUCAAUGUCACAAAAGAAUAUAAUAAAAAUAAACAUCAAAAUGCAUCUUAAAAUUUUAUCAUCUACAAUUCUCUAUUUUUUAUUUUUACCAAUAAAAUAGAUGUCAGUAAAGGAGUGGGAAGUCAACUAUCUGAAGUUAAAACAAGUCCUGCUCUUCCGUAUUCAUAAUAAAUACGAAUUUUAUUUAUAUGGUAACAGAUGAUGUGAAUUACAAAUACAAAGCGUUCGUCACACGGAACUUCUCACACAAAAGCAGAGGCCACUCCACUCACUUCAUAAUUCAUUUCUCCUCCUCCUCCUCCUCCUCCUCCUGCUUUCUCCCUCUCUUAGCUUCCUUCUCCCACCAUGACUUCAAAAGACUGCGGCAACCAUAGGCACAAGCAUCAUAAGCUGAGGCGAUGCUUCGCCGGAUUGCUUAUCUUCUUCUUCAUCGUCCUCCUCGUCGUACUCCUGGUGUGGGCAAUCCUCCAGCCCAAGGACCCACGCUUCGUCCUCCAAGACGCCACCAUCUACGCCCUCAACGUCUCCACCCCGAAUAUCCUCACCGUCAACAUCCAAGUCACCAUCACCACCCGCAACCCCAACGACAAGAUCGGCAUCUACUAUGAGAAACUCGACACCUACGCCACCUACCGCGGCCAGCAGAUUACCCUCGCGUACCUCAUCCCCCCCACCUACCAGGGCCACAAGGAGAUCAUCACCUGGUCACCUUUUCUCUCCGGCACGGCCGUACCCGUGGCUCCCUACAACGCCAUUGCACUGAAUCAGGACCAGUCGUAUGGCGCCCUCACCUUGAUCAUCAAGAUUGAUGGACGGGUGAAAUGGAAAGUUGGUUCCUUCACAUCAGGC
rnacentral:lncRNA from 1 species